ACCGCGCGCCCUCUCUACACUUGCCUCAGUCUGUCUUUCCGUCCCUUUCCCUCUCUGCACCUUGCUUUACACCCAGAGUGAAUCCUGCUGUUGCUCACGAGCAAAAACACCACACCUCAGGCUAGCCACGCAUGACCCUUCCUGGGCUUCUCGGACCCCGGGGCAGGGGUCUGGCUGGAUUAGGGAGAGAGGGAAAAGCGCUUUCCAAGCAGCCCGGGCUUAGGAAGUGUGGGGCUUGAAGGAGGGGCAGGUGCCACUUUGGAGCCAGGUCUCCGCUCUGCUGCCAGCGGUACUCCAGGAGUCUGACAAGUUUACAGGGCUUGUUUCUGCUUCACUCCGUAAGCGACUUUUCUCAACUGCUGGCUCUGUGCUCCAUUUAUUUUCCCUCUCACUUGAACAGUAAGAUCCAAAUAUUCCAUUCAGCUUUUUUCCCCCUCCUGUAGCUGCUUUCCUUCUGUGUUUCCCUCUUCCUCUGUCCCCUAUCCCAUUUCUCCAACUCCCUCUUCAGUCACCCCUAUUGCCUCCAGUCUCUGGUUUACUCCUAUGCUAUAGUGUUCCCAGUGUUUCCCUCACACCUUAGUUCCUGUCAUUCCUUAUUCUCCCUGUUUUUCCAGAUUUCCCUUUCCACUAAUUUCCGGUCCUCACCAUAGCCCUUGUCUUCCCCUCCCAGACCAUCAUCUGUCUCCAGCUUUGCCUCCCAUGCACUUUUCUGUCACACCCACACUCAAGGUCCAGUACCAUAUUCAGAUCCCAUAAAUCUCGAUUUUAUGAGCACACUCCCUCUCAGCUCUCCCAUCCUCUCAUACACUGGCACUUCCCUCCUGUGAGAAAUGAUUCACACUCAGAACCCCCCCCCCCAGUGUUUAAAGGAUGCACACUCCACACUCACUCCACACGUGCACCCCCCAACCCCCAACACACACUUCCCUUUCUCUUCUGUCUGUAGUUUUGCCUCUUGUCUUCCCCUAUUUUCACUGAGCUGAGCAUGAACAGAGUGUUUGUCGGUGAAAGGUCUCCCUAGCCUGUUUUCCUCAGAAGCCACACUACCAAGUAUGCCCAGGGGAAGAUUUCCUUUCCCAUUGGAUAUAAAUUGAUGACCAGUCAAGCUUAGCGCUAAACAGGGCUCCCUGCCCUGCCUUGCUCUUCACUUCCCAUAGACCCACCUACACUGUCCCCCUGCCUCCCCCCCCCAAAAAAAAAAACCUGGCUUGCUUUGCCAAUAUCCCUGGAAGAUCUUCACUCUCUCCACUGGGUGGUAGUUUGCUUUUGAGUACAGAUUACAGGGAGCCAGUAUAAUACAUGCAUGUCUAAGGUGGGGAAGAAUGCUUAUUUAUGGUUGAAACAGGCAACGUUUUAAAUUUAAGGAUGUAGGUUUCAGGCAUGACUUAAAGCUUUUUAAUUGUUUUUGAGGCCAAUUACACAGGACAAUUUUAAUAUAUGCUAAUACCUUAUUUUAAGAAUAUAUUAUUCUUGUUAAGUGUCGGAGAACACAAAAGUAAUGCAUUUCUGCUACAGUAUAGAAGAAUAACUUUUCAUUUUGGACAAGGGUGAGGCGUGCUUUAUCAUGGAGCAGCUGAGAAUUGAAUACCUUUUUACUCAUGUUCUUAGUUUCUUUGUAAGUUUGAUCAUCAGCUUUGGAGGCAAGCUCAGUUACAGAAACUGAAAUGUGCGUGUGUUUGCAGUAGCAAAUGGCUAAAAUAUGGCAAGCAUUACCGUUUUCAGCCUGAAGGAUUUGAUCUCUCACUCACAUUGUGGUGAUAAAUCUUGGCAAUCCCCUUCGUAAUGAGCAGUUUAAUAAGUGUUACGGUCAACGGAAGUAUCUAUCGGGAGCCUGCUCUGCUUCCAGGAGACCUUCACUCUGACAGUGUAGAUCUCCAGGCUUGUGGGGAGCAUUCUUACAGUGCUGAGUUUGGUGUGCUUCUUGCUUGCUUACAGGCUUCAGACCUCAUCCUUGUAUGACGAACCUCGAGCUUUGUAGCAUUUUAGAGAACUCUCGACUCUCGAAACUUCCCAGUGAUAUUGUCUAUAUUUUAAAUAUCGUCUUUGUCACUGGAAGCAAAUUCUAUCUGCUUUAUUCUUUUACAUCAAUUUUACAAUCCUAUAGAAAUUCUCUAAUUAUUGAACUUUUUGAUCCCCCAAGAUCUAGGGACAAUUUUAUCAUUUAUUUAUAGAAGAUUGCAUGUUCAUUAAAAACUUGACCAUUGCUUUCAGUUUCCUGUGACUUCCUCAGCCUCAGGUAUUGACUUUGCUCAUGGGCUGAUACAGGUGGGCUUGGGGAAGAGCAGAUGGUGGCCAGCUCAGGGGACACCCUUUCACUGGAAGUAAAUCCAUCAGGAUAUAUAUAUUCAAUUUAUUGCUGAUGCUAUCCUGUAACUCACUAGAAAAACAAAACUAUACCCCACAAACAUGUGGCCCAUCCUUAUCAAAGUGUGUGAAUUGAAUCCCUAAGAAAGCACUUACCAGGUCGAUAUGACAAUCUACUGUCUUUUUUAUUAUUAUUACAGCACAAUCCUUAAAGCAUCUCAUUGAGAGUAGAGAGAUAACUGUUAGCAAGUAUCUUGGAGUGCUAAACCCUGGAGGUGCAGACAUGCCAGUUAGGGAUGGAGGUGCUCCUGACUGUGAAUGAAGGGCCAGGUCAAAGGUCAGCUGGUCCACUUCUGUCUUCAAAGUGCCAUGGAGUCCAGUGUUUACGAAAAGAAUAGCAAACAACCUAAGCCUUCCCUUGAGUGGAGCUGUGACACAAAGGAAACCCAUCCUGCCACUUCCUGCUGUCUGUCACCUUGUAAAUGGUCACCACUGUUUAGCUCACCUAGAGGAGGUGCAGUGAGUUCCAGGCUAUCACUGUGGUUUCAACUCUUAACCUCUGCCUUUUCAGGAUGGCAGGCUCUGCAAGGCACACCCUCUGAGCCACUCAGUAGACCUGUGUAGACAUUCCAGGCAAAGGAUUUAAUGAUGCAUGUAUUCAACAGAGUAACUCUUACAUGAACUUCGUAUUUUAAAAAUAGGUGAAUUUCUAGAAUACACCCUAGGUUUUUAAAAACAUAUUACCAUCCUUUGUAUCGAUAUAGAAUUUGAUGUUUGCUAAAUUUAUCUACAUUAUUCUAUUCCUGAUAAAAUGUGUUGGUUGGUAAAUAGGAAGGUGUGUUUUUUUUUUUUUCUCCAGUCUUCAUAUUGAAUUUUGUAGUGUGUAGCAAAUCUGAGUCACUGUGCACCUGGUGACAAGGCAGAGGACAAUCAAGGCAAGAACUUCAUUAGGACCUAGGGCUGCUAGCCCUGAGGAGCUGAGGCACACUAUUGAAAUUUACAUACAAAUCAGAUGACUUCUUAGUGUUAAGUAAAACACCAAUCAAUUACUUUAUUCUCACUUUACUGGCAAAUGCUGUUGAGUAAACAGGUCAAAGAUGCCCCAUAGUCUUUGUAAACAGUCACAAAUAUUUGUAUCCUCCCUACAACUGCACAAUUCUUUGUUCUGCUCAUUGUUUUUCCAGACAGGGUUUCUGUCCUGGAAACUGCCUGUCCUGGAACUCACUUUGUAGACUAGGCUAUUCUCAAACUCAUAGAGACCUCCCUGCCUCUGCCUCCCAGUGCUGGGAUUAAAGGAGUAUACUAUGCCCAACAUCUGUAUCAUUCUUAAACAUGUUUCAUUUUCAACUCUUUUUUUUUUUUUUUUGCAACCUGUUUAUUCAUUCAGCCAUUCUGCAUGGAUCUUGUACAUUUUCAGCUGAUUUGAUAUGAAUUCAAGAUAACUUACUCUGUGCUUGUUAUGCUUUUAAUCAAAGGAAAGAAAGAAAGAAGGAAGGGAAGGAAGGAGGGAAAGUCUUCCUUACAAGUGAUACAUUCUGUUACUUUAGCAAAAUUAGCACAGCCAGCCCUUCUGUGCACUGGGCUUGAGUGUCAGCGAUUGAGCAACAUGCUAGGUGACUUUUGGGAGAAGGGCAGGUGACACAAAUGUACUAGAGAGCAUGUUUCUGUGGAGGAUGUCUCUGCUGGAACCACAUAACCUUGCAAAUAGAUUUAGAAAUGGUGCCUUGAAUAUUCGUUCCUGUAGGCCAACACAUUUGCUGCUUUUAUUCUACAUUAAGUAGUCUCGACUGAAAAGCAUGCUGUUGGUUACAAUAAAUGAUUUAUGUAUGAGGAAGUGGAACCACCAAUAAAUAGAACUCAAUUAGGUAUCCUCAGGGAAGACCAUUGGGAUGUCUCCUUGUAAGCUGAGUCCCUCCUGUGCUCCAAAGCAACGUGUGCUCCCAGUAAACUCUUCAUCAGCAUGGAGAUCUUCAAUUUAUAACAUUAAGGUAUUAUUUAAAUGCUUAUGUGCUGACUUGGUAGAGUUCUUAAAAACAUAAUUCCAAAGCUCUUAAAGAAGGAAGGUGCCAUACUUAGGUUUAAUUGUUGACUUAAGCUACCUGAGAAGCGGGAUGCUAUGAAGUAAUUGCCCCCGUCAGAUGGGCCUGUAGGGAUGUUUGUGGGGGCAUUUUACUUGAUUGUUAAUUGCUAUGAGAGGGCUUAGAGCACAUCAGGCAGUGCCAUCCCGAGGCAAGCGGGCCUGGGGUGUGUAAGGAAGGAUGCUGAAUGAGCCAGAGGAGAUAAACAAGUCAGUAAGCAGCACUCCUCCUUGGUCUGUGCAUCAGUGUCUGCCUCUAGCCUUCUGCAUGGAGUCCCUGCCCUGAUUUCUCUUGUUGACAGACUGCAACCUUCAAGCCAAAUAAACCCUUUCUUCUCCUGAGUUGAUUUUGGUCAGAGUAAAACCAGGGCAAAAGUGAUAAUGGAUCAUAGUGAGUCAGCCUGGGAAAAUGAGUCCCUAGCAUAGAGCUGAGAAGUGGUGGAGUGGCAUGUGUUGCCAUGUGUCAUGUAUGUAUGUCAUGUGUGAUGGGUCAUGUGUGGUUAUGUGUCAUGUGAUGUGCCAUGUGUGGCAAUGUGUCAUAUGUGGUGAUGUGUCAUGUGUGUCAUAUGUUGUGUCAUGUGUGGUAAUGUGUCAUGUGUGGCGUCAAGUGUGGCAAUGCUUAGAACUGUUCCAUUCCCAGGUAUGCUACAUGGAAUAUCAGCUAAUAACAAUUUAUUAAUUAUAGAACAGUAGAGUGCUUUUAAAUAUUUCUAUAUAAUUAUUUUUGGCCAAUCUAAUUAUUUCAGAAGAAUUCAAAAUUUCUUUUGGUUGUGUGAUUUUUUUGCAUAUAAGCAUAUGAGUGAACUUAUUUUAAAUGUAUUUUUAAUAAUUAAACUGCUCUGUGAAGUAAGAAUUAAUACUUUAAUUUUAAAAAUUUAUCAAAAAUAGUGACAGUAUGGUGUGUGUCAGUCAUCUAUGGCCCUAUACCCUCUGCUAUUCUGUGUGGGUGAGAAGGAGAGGGUGUGAUCCCCCAGGCUUUGUCUUUUUGCAUUCCUUGUCUGAUAUUAGUGGGAAGAUGGGAGGUGGAGAUGAAGUGAGUGGCCAGGGUAUUUCUCUAUUUUCUCUCUCCUGAGAUUUGAGGCUUUCAGGGGUAGUAUUUCCACCCCUCACCCCUCACUCCCGGAGGCAGCUUCCUUUUAUGACCACAGCCACCUAUACCUUCAACUGGGUCAGUAGUGGUUCCCUCUCAUUACUAGUCACUGUGGUGCACCAAUCUUCUUAGUGUCUCAAGAGUUCCCUUUCUUUUAUAAUAAAUCCUUACUUGAAACCACCUCUGCUUUAAAUACCUAGGACAGUAAAUGUUGCUUCUAAAUCCCUGGCUGGCUCACAAUGAAUUCGUGAUUUCCUUGACUUUAUUUUUUUUUUUGUAUUUUACAACAAUAAUAUAGUAAUAAUAGUAACAAUAAAUUAAUAAAGUGCUAGGGAUUGGAACCAGGGCCUCUCCCAUGCUAGAAAACACUCUGUACUGCAUGUUCGUGGUUAGUUACAUGUUAAUUAUAUUUAAAUAAAUGAUUCUUUCAUCAUCGUGUGUGUGUGUGCUUGUGCGUAUGUGUGUGCAUGUGUGUGUGAGUGUGUGUGUGUGUGUGUGUGUGUGUGUGUGUAUUCUUGAGGGCAUGAUGCUAAGUCUUCUCCUUUCUCAUAGAACUUUGGUAUUGGAUUAUAGAUGAUUUCAUAGAUAUACCAUGUGUUGCAUAUCAAACAAUGAGAACAAGAACUUACUUCCACCAAACUGUAAAAAUUUAGAACUUUUCUAACAGCAAUCAUUAUCAAAUAAGGUGUUUAUUCUUCUCUGCUGGUUAUUUUGGAAAAAAUUAACAUUACUGAAGAAAUUAAGUGAUAGAUUUUAAUGUUUUAACAAAAUGAACUUUUUGCUCUUCUUUGCUGUAUUUAAUUUGGAAAAACUGUGGAGUUUUAGGUCUUCGGGCUGGUGUUCAGCAGACCCUGGGAUCUGCAUUUUAUGAGAGCAACACAGAGAAAGUGCAACUUAAUGAGUCAGUGAAGGAGAAAGUGAGGGACAGGCCCAUUUACAGAGUUAGUGAGGCUUUUUAGGCUUUAGUAACACACUUUCUUUAAUGCUCCCCUCUAUGUUGGGGAGGCUUUCAGGAUUUAGUAACAUACUUUCUUUAAUGAUCCUGGAUUUUUAUGGUGAUGGAAGCAAAUGUUUCACUCAGUGAAUCUGCAGGUCAACAGAACUCUUUGUCUUAAUUAAUGUCUGCAAAAAUUCUUUGUAGCUUGUAUUAUCCUCAUCAGAAAAACUCUGAAUUUUUGUUUUUAUUUUCAUUUUUUGUUUGCAAAUUUUGACUAAAUUCUUUUCCCUCCUUCAACAUUUCCUAUAUUCUUCUCACCCCUUGAUCUCCCCAUAAUUUCAUGGUCCUUCUCACUUUAUAUUUAAAACAAGAAAAUGCAAACAAAGAAAAUCAAUAAGACAAAAAUACAUGAAUGAGAUAAAACAAUAAGCACACCCAAACCCAUGCAGACCCUUGUGUAUGGCUAGCUAGUCCUGGGCAAGUACAGGGCCUUUCCUGGAGAGUGGGUGAUAUACCCACUGCCACUCUAUAGAAGAAAACCCAACCGGUAUCAAUUUCCCUUAUCCAACCGGUAUCAAUUAAAAAUAGCUUCUUGGUGGUAGGAUUUUGAGUCUGGUUUCUUUUCUCAGAUCUGGAAUUAUUCUGGUUUGAAUUAGUGCAGGUCUUGGGUGUGCUGCCAUAGUCUGUGAGUUCCUGUUGUGUCUGAAAGACACUGUUUCCUUUGUGUCAUCCAUCAUCUUUUAGAAUGUUUCUGCCUCCUCUUCUGAAUAUGUCCCUGAGCCUUGAGGGAUGGGCUUUGAAGAAGACAUUCAUUUAGGAGGUAUUCCAAAAUGUCCCACACUCACACACUUUCCAGUCAUGGGUCUCAUCUAUUAAAAGAAGAUUUUUUUAAUGAGGGCUGAGUGAGGACCUGAUUUAUAGGUAGAGCAGAAUGUCAUUGGGAAUUAUUUUAUUCAUUCAUUCAUUCAUUCAUUCAUUCAGCUGAAUGUUAGUGUUAGGUUUCCCCCAGGCCCAUGACUUACCUAGGGUCAAGUUCUUGGCCUUGAUAGCAGUUACAGGUAUGAGUUCCAUCUCAGGAAUGGGCCUUAAAUUUAAAGAGUGGUUGGUUACCCCCAUAACAUCUGCAGCACUUUUGUAACAGACUGUCUUGCAGAAUGCUCACUGCUGUAGCUUUCAAGGUUUGUGGCUGUGUGGUAUGAUUAUAUUUCCCCUCCAGUAGCAUACAUAAUACCUUGUAGUACCAUGAGCACUAGUCAGGAAGGGUGAUGGAAACUUCUACAGUGGUACUGUUUCUCACAAGACCUUUAUCAUUAGUUAUCCCUCCACACAUUCCUUUUAUUACCUGUUCUUCCCAUUGCUUCCCCAUUUAAUCCUCUCGUUCUAGUUCCUUCUUUAUCUCUUUAAAUUGCUAAAUUCUCUAUUGCUUUCCUUGGAAGACCUGUCAUCCACACUGAUUCUUCAUUAGCUACCUAGCCUAUGUGGUUAUUCAGAUUGAAACACUUGUAUCUAAAUCUUAAAAGCUAAAACAGUUCUGAGUGAUAAAAGUACUGCUGAGUUAUCAAUGUCCCAGAUAUUGAGCUGUACUACAGAGCUGUAAUAAUAAAGACAUCACAGUAUUGGCACAAAUCAUACCUGUUAAUCAAAAGGAUAGAAAUGAAGACACAGAUAUAAAUCCACACACACAUGUAGACACUAGAAAUAGGACAGCCUCUUCAACCAGUGGUGCUGGUCAAACAAGGUGACUGAAUAUAGAAGAAUGCAAAUAUAUCCAUAUUUACUACCCUGCACAAAUCUCAACUCCAAGCAUCAACAUAAAUCUGGAUAGCUCCUGAAUUUGACAGAAGAGAAAAUUAGGAAUAGCCUUAAACUCAUUGGCACAAGGAAGAGCUUUCUGAGCAGAAGACCAAGACCACAGGCACAAAGAAACAACAAGUAACAAAUGCAACCUCAUGAAAUUGAGCAACUUUAGUACAGCAAAGGAUGACAUUAUUGAAGCAAAAUGUCAUCCUACAGAACAGUAAAAUCUAUUUAGCAAUAACACACCAGAUAGAGGACUAGUAUCUAGAAUAUAUAAAGAACUAAGAAACUGAACAUCCAAAUAUCAAGUACUCAGUUAAAAAACAAGGUAUAAAACUAAAUAGAGUUUAAAAAAGAAAAAAAAUAGGGAGAGAGAGAGAGAGAGAGAGAGAGAGAGAGAGAGAGAGAGAGAAAUUCAAAUGGCAGAGAAGCACUUAAAGAAACUUCAACAUUCUUCUUAGCCAUCAGGAAAAUGUAAAUCAAAACUACUUUGAGAUUUCAUCUUACAACAGUCAGAAUGCCCAAGAUCAAUAAAACAAAUGACAGCCCAGACAGGUGAGGAUGUGGACCAAGAGGAAGGGAACACACAUCCAUUGCUGGUGGGAGAGCACACAUGUACAACCACUAUGGAAAAUACUGUGUGAUUCAUCAGAAAGAUGAGAAUUAAUCUACCUCGACAUCCAGCUAUAUCACCCUCAGACAUAUACCCAAACAAUGCUUUGCCCUACACCAGAGACACUUCAUUUCUCAAAUUCAUUGAUGCUGUCUGUAUUCUGAUAGCCAGAAACUGUAAAGAUGCUAGAUGUCUGUCAAGUGAUGAAUUGAUAAUAAAUAUGUGGUUCAUUUACAAAAUGGAAUAUUUUCUAGCUGUUAAGAAAAAUGAAAUCUGGGGCUGGAGAGAUGGUUCAGUGGUUAAGAGCACAGACUUUUCUUCUAGAGGUUCUGAGUUUAAUUCCCAGCAACCAUAUGGUGGCUCACAACCAUCUGUAAUUGGAUAUGAUGCCCUCUUCUGGAGUGUCUGAGGAGAGGACAGCUACAGUGUACUCACCUACAUAAAAUAAAGAAGUCUUUAAAAAGAAAAGAAAUAGAAAAAUGAAAUUCACAGCAAAAUGGAUGAAACUAGAAAAAAUGAUUGUGAAUAAGGUAAGCCAGGUCCAGAAAAACAAGUAUUGCAAUUUUCUCUUAUAAGCUGAUGUUAACUUUUAAAAUUAAGAAUCCUUAAAAUAAUUUAUUGUUAUCAGUUACUAGAGUUUGUACAUGUUUUGAUCAUAUUCACUUUCAUUCCAUAACUCUUCUUAGAUCCAACCCUCUUUGAUACACCCCUAACUUUGUGUCUUUUUUUGUCCUUUUUCUCAAGGCAUCAAGAGCAGUUUAUGCUGCCAAAAUAUUCCUAUCUUCCUUUCUGCCUUAUCUUCCACUGGGGCAUGGUUAAAUUUCCAGAGGUUGCAUCUUUCAGAGCACGGACUCUCUUCCCCUGAAAGCUAACAAUGCCCAAUGUCUCUCAGGUUAGAGGUGGCACUGUGUACCUAACUUCUACAUUCAUGGUGGGACUUGGUCUGACUGAGGCUUGCAGUGAAUUCUGUGUAGUCACUAUUAGAUCAUAUACGCAAUUGCCUUGCUGUGUGGAGAAGAUGGUGUUUUCGUGUAGUCAUCUGUCACUUCUUGUUCUUACACUUUUUUUUCCCUUCUUCUGCCAUGACCCCUGACCCUUUGGAGGAAGAUUAUAUAUGAUCCAUAUAGGACUGUACAUUUUAUAAUAUCUUAUUCUUGGUCAGUUGUUGGUUAGUUACAACCUAUUGCAAAUAGAAACUUCUCUGAUGAGAGUCUAGAUAUGCACUGAUCUAUGAGUAUAAUAACCUGUUAAGAGUUGACUUGAUACUAUGCCCAUUAAACAAAAUAAUAGUAGAUCCAACCCUCACCUAGGACCUAGCCACAGGUUCUUGGCUUAGUAAUGGUGACAGGUAUGGGUUUCAUGUUGUGGAGUGAGCCUUAAAUCCAAUAAGAAAGUGACUGGUUUUGUCCAAUGUGUAUGUGCCUCUAGUGCUCCAAUGGCAAGUCUUUCUGAGCAGGUCAUAACUGGAGCUUGCUGGCUUCACAUCCAGGUGACAUAUUGUUCUUUAUCUCUCCUGUAGCAUAUAUACCACCUUCCAUAAAUAUCUUUAAAUUGCAAGGAAAAGUGUACUAGAGGGUUGUGAAGAAAAGUGAGUGAAAUUGCUUACCAUAUAUUUCAGAUAAAAUGCCCAAUGUAAGAUACAUAGCAAGACAUUUUACAUAAUAACAAAUCAUUUUAUUAAAGUUGACUGUAUAUUUAUGUAUUUAUAUGUGUAUGUGCUGUCAAGACUUAACAUGCAUUUUCUAAGGUGCAUUUCAGUAGACAAAAAUCUUAAAUUACAAAGUUCUAGUUGCUAAGAUUUUAAGCUGUAUCUCUAAUCUGAAGAAGACCCAUGGUUUCAAGUGACCAAGGAAGGCAUCCUUAUCCUCACAGUACACCACAGCUAUGACAAGAACUCCCUUCACACACACACACACACACACACACACACACACCACCACCACCACCACCACCACCACCACCACCACCACCACCACCACCACCACACAUCACACCACACAGAUGGCAAGAAAUCUUCAGAGUCAUGUGUCAUUUUUAGAAUUUAAUUAUUUUAUUUAUUAUGAUCACCAUCAUCAGUCAUUAUUUGUUUUUUUGACUCAACUCAUAGAACCUUCUCUUCCUUCCCCACAAGGCAACAAUGAAAUGAAAUUAGUGGACACAGCAGAAACACAGAAAAUUGACCAUUGCAAUUGAUGACCAGUUCUCAGUUGUGAAAAGCAUCUAUGCACCACUCCUCAAAGACCAGUAUUUGUACUACCCUAGCUGUCUCUUAGAGGUAGGGUCAUAGCUCUUUGUAAACCACAGGCAGUGAUAGGAGGUGAUAGAGCUUUCGUGUGGUCACAGGCUUUGAUUAUGAUGCCAAGGGGUUAUCUAUCAGCAUUGUGCCUUCCAAUCCACAUCAAGUUCUGCAUCCUGACAGAGAACCUUUGAUGUUCUCCAGCAUCCAGCUGGCAAGGGAAUUGGUCUUAAUCACUUUCUCUGAAAGCCGGAGAGAGGGAAGAAGGGGCUUGGCAGUGUUGGUAACAUUAAGUGUUGUGCUUUUGAAAGGAUGCCAGCACAUUGUACUUUCCAAAUAGCUAGUAAAUUUGCUCAAUUUAAGGGAGAUUUUUUUUAACCCUACUCAGUCCAGAACUAAAUUGUUCUUUGUGGAAUUUCACUGAUUCUUCAAAUGUAUGUCCAGUUCUCAAAGUUGAGUGUGUGUGUGUGUGUGUGUGUGUGUGUGUGUGUGUGUGUGUGUGUAUUUCCAUGUUGUAUGUUUGUUUUGUUUUAAAAACGAAAACAUUUAGUUGUACACACUGCUUUGAACCAUUUACAGAUUCUGGUUCAUUACAACUUCAUGGGAAAGGGCCCUGUCUUAGAAAACCCUUUUGUAUUUGUGCUUCAGUUUUGAAUUUAAUCAUAGUGAAAAGGCUUAAAAGAUAUUAUUUAGAACUCUAUAAAUAGUUUAUAUUCCAAAGAAUAGUCAUAGUAAUUGAAGGCUGGCCUGGACCUCAUGAACAUAUUAUCUCCUUUUACCAAUUCCCCUCGCUUGGCAGCUGUCGUAACAAAGUGGAAAUAGAAAAACACUCUUCAGUCAGCUUCUCCCUGUGUCUUCCUUCUUGUUCCAUUGUGAACUCUAAUCCCAGGACUGUUAGGACAAGUCAAGUGGUCUUGGUGAAAUAGGGUGAGGUCUUGGAUUUGCUUCAAGUUGCCAGGGCUAAAGAAAGACCUAGGGUCCAGCAGGAGGAAAAAUGAACUUGACCUUGAAUGGCAUCACCAGAGCUGGUGAUGACUUCACAUAUGUCUGUCCGAACAUUUUCCUGGUUUCUGUAAAUGUCUAAGGCUUUCUAGUAAAUCUUUCUAAAGCAAGGUCAUACAUGAUGCUUAUUGUAAAUAAAAGGGCUCAAUAAAAUACCAUGCUUGCAUUUCCUGUUAGAGAAUAUUGGGGGAUCUUUAAGAUCACAGUUCUGUGAUUUCUUAGACACAAAAUUCUUAACAGGAAAGCAUAUUUGAUUUGUGGAGACUCUUGUUAGAAAUUAAUUUGAAUAGUUGAUCAUUUCUUUAAAGUUGGUAGCAGUUUUUGUUAGAUUGCACAUAUCUGAACCAUGUACACAAAUGCAAGGAGAGAGGUAGGAAAAAGGGAGAACUAAAUGAAAUAGGAAAAUGAAAAUACAGUCUGUAUUUUAAUUGAGUUAAAAUCAUACCAAUUAAAACUUAGGUCAUUUUUUAUUUCUUUUUUUAACUUUUUUUUUUUACAUUUUGAAAGCAUAAUUUAUUUUCAUUGAAAUUUGUCUAUAAAAAUAGAUAUUUUGCACUUCACACAUAUAUUGUGCUGGUGUACUAUAAUUUAUGGUAUUUGCAAUACAUUAACAACUAUUUAUGAAAGUGCACAUUGAAAAAAUAUUGUUAUCCCCUAAAUGUCUUAGAUAAUCUUAUUAAAUAUUAUACAAUACUGAUGAAUUUUACCUUUUAAAUUUAUAGUUGAUAAGAUUUAAUAUGAAAUAUCACUUUUGCUGAUUCAUUUUUUAGCUAAUGUUGGCAAAGUGUUGACAUACACAUUAUGGAUCUAAUAAAAAUCAGGAGAUUCUCAAUUUUGUUUGUAUUGUAAAUAUCAAAGACUGAAUAUAUCAAACAACUAUAAACUAAUGCAUAUAUAAUAGUAAGAAGAAAAUAUAUAGUAGAAUAUUGAACUGAGAAUAAGAAUAAAUUUUUAAAAAUCUCACCACCUGUAACUACCAUUCCAAUCGUUCUAUAUAAAUAUCUAUUGAAGUUUCCCCACAUUCAACAAUUUUUAAAAUAUAUAUACAUACAAUGCUUGGAGACUACUUGGAUAUAUUGAUUAUCUCUUCAGUAAAUAUAACAUAUUUAUUCUUUUUUGCCAUUUAUUUAUUUAUUUGUCUAUCUAUUUAUUUAAUUUACAUUUCCAUAGUUGGCCUCUCCAACUUGAUUCCACCCUCUCACAGUUUCUCAACCCAUUCCUCCUCCUUCUUUCCUCAUAGAGAUUGCUUUUCCCCACCAGGCCAUUCCCUUCCCUGGGGCAUCAAGUCUCUUGAGGGUUAGGUGCAUUUUCUCCCACUGAGGCUAGACCAGGCAGACCUCUGCUACAUAUUUGCCAGGUCCUCAGACUAGCCCAUGUAUGCUGCCUGGUUGGUGGCUCAGUCUCUGGGAGCUCCCUGGGUCCGGGUUAGUUGAGAUUGUUGGUCUUCCUAUGGGUGCCAGUUUAAAACUUUUCAGUUCUGGAAUUUGAACAUCUGCUCUUGUGCAUGUUAGCACAUCAUCUUAGUGCUGAGCUAAGUCAUGCGGGGCAGUAGUGACGCACACCUUCAAUCUCAGCACUUGGGAAGCAGAGGCAGGCGGAUUUUUGAGUUCGAGGCCAGCCUGGUCUACAGAGUGAGUUCCAGGAUAGCCAGAGCUAUACAGAGAAACCCUGUCUCGAAAAACAAACAAACAAACAAACAAGAUUAGGUCAUGUGGAAUGCCAUAAAAGGAGCUAUGGUGAGAGGGACUGAAUUCAGUAAAUACUGGACAUUAUCUUUUCUCCAUCCUCCACCUUUGAUAAAGUGGGGUUUGUGUCACAAAUUACAUUUACGAAUUCAUGUAUUUCACUUAGGCAAAUGUCUUUCAAGUUAUAGAUCUGCUUAAAUUUAUUUUAAACAUUCUGCUUUUGGAAUAUGAUCAAUGGCUACAUUGCAGAGGUGGAUGCUUACAAAAAGGACAUUGUAUAUGAAUAUUUUUAAAAAUUUGAGAUUUAUUUAUUUAUUCAUUUAUUAUUUAUUUGGAUGUUUUGCUUGCAUGUGUGUCUGUUGCACUGUGUGCAAUGACCACAGUGCCCAGAAGAGGGCACCAGAUUUCUUUGGAAGUGGAGUAAUUGAGAGUUGUGACCCUGGGAAUCAAACCUGGGCCCUCUGUAAGAGGAGUCAGCGAUCCACUUCUCCACACCUGUGUACAAGUAUUUAAGUAACAGGAUGUUUCUUUAACAGAUACCAUUAACCAAUUUUGCAUAUUAGCUACUGUUAUAUAUUAGAAAACUUGAACACAUCCUUGCGAAGGCAUGUGCUUUGCGAAGGCAUGUGCUCUAACUUGACCAUGUGGAGAAACACCACAGGGAUGCUGAUAACGUUCUUGACUUACUCAGUGGGCAGUGAUUGCCCAAGCCGGGCUUCACCUUUGGCCUGUGAAUCUGUGCUCAGCUUUGGAAGGAGAAACAGCCGCUCUUGAUGGUAGGUGCCAGAUUUCAGUUGUUCAAAAACUAGUUCUGGUAGAAGUCACAACUGGCUCAUUGUGAAAGGCGCCUCAUCGGGUGAAACACUGGGACUUCGCAUCAUAUGGGAAGGUAAAACAGUACCUGGGAUCUAUAAAACCUGACUAACCCAGCUUCAUUUACCAUGUGAAUAUCUUUUGCAGAGUUCUAUGUCCAGCUGCCAUCAGUGAGUAACAUCAUCAAACACACAUGCUUUUUCUAAUAGCCAGUGAAAGAAACGCUCACUGUUUAAGCUGAUUGACUGAAACUCGCCUUUUCUGAUUGCAUUACAUUGGAGAUAUUUAUGGCAUACAGUGUUUCCAUGACAACCUACUCCAGACCACAUGGCAUGCAAGAGGAGCACAAUGUCAUGAUGUUUGCUACCUUACCCAGCCAAGACACAGAGGGUUCAAAGUCCUGUUAUAAAAACCUCGAAUUUCUUCUUCUUCUUCUUCUUCUUCUUCUUCUUCUUCUUCUUCUUCUUCUUCUUCUUCUUCUUCUUCUUCUUCUUCUUCUUCUUCUUCGCAUUUGUAAACUCCAUUUUAUGUUUAUUCUCUCAUUUGCACAUGAUGGUGGGUGGGUGCUGAGAACUAAAUAGUUGAAAACCCUCAUCAGAAUCACAGAUCUAUCUAUCUAUCUAUCUAUCUAUCUAUCUAUCUAUCUAUCUAUCUAUAUGUUUUUGUGUGUGUGUAGAACUUCUUAAUCCAGGUAUCUUUUUUUCACCCACUUAAUGCUUCUUUCCUAGGUCAAAUGUUCUUUUAGGCCUUCAUUCCCAUAUAUCCAACAUUUAAAUUAACUGGCCGUGGAAUCUGCAGAAGGAAUAAUCAGUUAUUUUGUCUUAAGUGUGAUGGAUUUGCUUUAUGAUAAUUCAUGAGGCUCUUCUCUGCUGGUGAGAAGAAUAGAGGUCUUUGAACAUGUGGUGACCUUGCGCAGUCCUUUUUCAUUUAGGACUCAAUUCGUUCUGUAUCUGGGACUUCCCAGAUACAUGCCCUGUUGUUAAGUCUUUUCCACAGAUUCCACACACAUUUGUCUUCAGACUGUGAACUUUUCUGAAUGUCUGUGAAGAGUUUAUUUUCUUCUUCAUUAUUUCUUCUGUUAGCACCAAAGCCUUCUGCCAAUGCAACAUGCAUCUUCUAAAACCCUGUGCUUACCCAGUCGACAUAGGUCGUCUUCCCUCUUGGUUGCGAUAAUAAUUCAUAAAAGGCAGAUCUCAUAGAUUUCACCCAAUGUCUUCUUGAACUAUCAAGGAAAUGAAUUUGCAGCUUUUUGGGUAAGCCGUAGAUCACUGAAAUAGCAAAAGCCUCUGUAGUGGGUGAGUUGAGUUUCUUACUUUUCUGGAAAGUCUCUUCAUAUUUAGGGCACAUGCUUACAUGGUUUCUGGCAGACAGUACUGAGUUUUCUUAUCUAUGUAUUUUUAAGCAACAGCAGACAUUUAAUUUUGACAGUGUUAUUCUGCAGUGUCCAUUCCUGUUAAUGUUUUCAUGUUAAUAAAUCCAGUUUUCAUUUAUUUAAAAAUAUGGUGAUAUUUCAAAUCACUGGUCCAGUGAAUUCAUUUUGUUCUUAUAUACAGCUUCCUCUGUUGUUUUAAAUAAAAUCUCAAAUGUUUAUUUUACCAAUAAAUACUCCAGAGCCAGAUGCUAGGAUGAAAGCCUGCUAGUUCAGAGAGGCAGAGAAAGCACCCAGGUGACCUUCCUCCUCAGCCGACUUCCCAAGAGGCAGCUCUCCUUCUCUAUGCUAUCUGAAAAACAACCUUCCAACUGACCAUCUCUCUCGUCUUCUCUCUGUGCAUCUCUCUAUCAGGCCUCCUGACUCCCUCUCACUCUCUGCUUUUUUCCCAUAUCUACUCUCUGUCUAUUCCUUGCUUGCUCUACCUCUUGACCUAUGGUGAACUUUAUUUUAAUCCUGUUUACAAUAAUCAGAAAGCUCUUAAAUUAAAGGUGUGUUUUAGGACUGACUGAGCCACACCACAACUGGAAACAUUUUUUUGUUUGGUUGGUUGUUGGUUUUUUUUUUUUUCCAGUAAAUAGCACAAUUUCUGGGUUUAAUCCUGCAACAUACCUCUUUACUCAUGGUUGAGAUAGGACCUUUAAAAACAUUUCUUUGAGUUUUCUCUUUAAUGUAUUGAAAAAUGGACUUAAGUUUUGUCCUUUUAUUUCACUGUCAAGUGGGUUAAUGGUAGUCUCCAACCUCUAUAUUGUGAAAAUUAAAAUUGGAAACAUUUACAAAUGCCUCAACCUCAUACCAGGCUCCAAAUGAGCAAUAAGUAAAUGUUGACCAUCAGGAUUGUAAGAAAUAGACCCUUAAUGCUAUUAUUAUAACUGACAGCAGUCAAAACUGAGAUUUGGGUUAUCUUGUUAUUCUAUGCUUAGCACAGUGGUAAAGAAGGUCAUACAUUAAUAACCUCUGCUCCACAGUUUGUCUGUGAGUGGCUUUACAUACAUAUGGACAAUGGCAGUCCAAAAGCAUUAAAUGGUUAGUUUUAGAAGUAAGCAACUCACAGGUCUUAAACUGCGCUCUUCUGUAGAGUGACAGUCCUACCCCUGUAGUUCAGUGGGUUUACACUUUCUGCAGCACCACCCACUUAGUAAUCUGAAACUCUUAGUGAUAAUUCUUUUUUUAGGUAUUUAUUUCAUUUACAUUUCCAAUGCUAUCCCAAAAGUAACCCCACCCGCUCUCCCACCCACCCACUCUCACUUCUUGACCCUGGCGUUCUCCUGUACUGAGGCAUAUAAAGUUUGCAUGACCAAUGGGCCUCUCUUUCCACUGAUGGCCAGCUAGGCCAUCUUCUGCUACAUAUGCAGCUUGAGACAUGAGCUCCGGGGGAUACUGGUUAGUUCAUAUUGCUGUUCCACCUAUAGGGUUGCAGAUCCCUUUAGCUCCUUGGUUACUUUCUCUAGCUCCUCCAUUGGGGGCCCUGUGAUCCAUCCAAUAGCUGACUGUGAGCAUCCACUUCUGUGUUUGCUAGGCCCCAGCAUAGUCUCACAAGAGACAGCUAUAUCUGGGUCCUUUCAGCAGAAUCUUGUUAGUGUAUGCAAUGGUGUCAGCGUUUGGAAGGGAAGCUGAUUAUGGGAUGGAUCCCUGGAUAUGGCAGUCUCUAGAUGGUCCAUCCUUUCGUCUCACCUCCAAACUUUGUCUCAGUAACUCCUUCCAUGGGUGUUUUGUUCCCAAUUCUAAGAAGGGGCAAAGUACAAUGGAGUAUUACUCAGCUAUUAAAAAGAAUGAAUUUAUGAACUAGGUAAAUGGAUGGACCUGGAGGGCAUCUUCCUGAGUGAGGUAACCCAAUCACAAAAGAACUACACAAUAUGUACUCACUGAUAAGUGGAUAUUAGCCCAGAAACUUAGAAUACCCAAAAUAUAAGAUACAAUUUGCGAAACACAUGAAACUUAAGAAGAAAAACGACCAUAGUGAUAACUCUUAAAUGCAUGGCUUUGCUUUAUCUACAGACGUUGCUGGCAUGUACCACAGGCCCUGACCUACUGCAAAUAAACUUAAGCAGACUUGUUUUGUUCAGUAAUUUCAGAAUCCAUCUGUGACACAUACAAGUGUUUGAUAAGGACAUUUUAAAUGUGUUGUUAUCAAUUCUCAUUAUUUUUACACAGAAUACAUGCAUCCACAUCUCUGGUAUUCUGUCGGUGGCAUGCCAUCUUUUUUAAGGAAUGGGGUCAUACAUUCUUUUUAAAUUUCUUUCCAAUGUAAAAGAAAUUGUGAGUGGCAAUGUUAUCACAGGGACACAGCAAGAGGAAUCAGAGUUACCCUUGUCAAAGAUGACCUCAAGAACUAACAAUGCACUGUCUAUAUAUAUUACAUGCAACCCUUCUCAGUGUUUGAUAAAAUUACAUCUUUUCUUUUGGUUUGUUUGAUUGUUUUUGAAGUUAUAUCAAUCCAUGUAACCCAGGCAAGACUUACUUCUGAUACUCUGGCUUCAGCCUUUGGAGUGUGGGAAUUACUGGUGUGUGCUAUUAUUUCUGGCUAGCUCAGUAAUAAAUUACCUGGUAUUAGAUAUAUGUAUAUGUGUGUGUGUGUAUAUAUAUAUGUAUAUAUAUAUUUAUGUAUGUAUAUAUAUGUGUGUGUAUAAAAAUUUGAGUAUAUAUGUACAUAUAUAUAUAUGUAUGUGUGUGUAUAUAUAUAUAUAUAUAUAUAUAUAUAUAUAUAUAUAUAUAUAUAUAUAUUUGAGUAGAGGGUCAUAAAAUAAGGUGUCACCUAUAGGAAGGGACAUGUAAGCUCAUAUAUGAAAGGACUCAUCAAAUGCAUUUUAGAAGGAAGACUUAACAUGAAUAAUGUGAAAUAGCAGUUACCACUAUGAGUAAUUUCUGUAGCCUAAUAAAAUUAGUUUCAAAUUCAUAGCAUUCAAAAGACAUCUCAUCACAAGUUUUCCAAAUAUUUUGUGAGUUUCUGGUUGGCAUUUAAUCCUAAGUGUUUUAGCAGUUUGAGAAGCAAAAUGUCUUUAGUUUAUGUUCAAAGACAAAGAACAGUUUGGUCUGGGGCCUGCAGUAUGUACUGCUGUUUUGUGAGACAGUCAGUCAACAGUCCUGUGAUUGAUUGCUUUGAAUUUCCUCGAACGUUUGAACCAUCUUAACCCCUGACUUGUUGUUGAACAGCAAGUGGUAACAUGCUUCAGGAUGGAAAUUAAUUCUUAGUUGUCCAAUUAAAACUGGCAUUUGCAUCUCAAGCAAUUCCCUUAGAGGAAAAUACAAGGGAGGAAGUUGGAUGUGUUCGAAGAUUAAGUGGAAAUGCACAUUGUAACCACAAAACUAAUUAAAAUUAAAGAACGACAAAACUCACUUCUUAAUGAAAGAUUCAAUUUGUUAUCUAUUUUAAAUUAUCUUCAUUUGGUAUCAGCAAAUAUGCUGGUGGUCAAACAGGCAUACAGCUCCUUAAAGUCCUGCAUAAUUAGAACAAAUGAUUGUUGGAGAUUCUAGAGGGAGAAGAACCAAAAAAAAAAAAACCCAACAUACAAAUACAUAUUAUUUUAUGUCACUAAUAUAAAUGUUUCAUUUGCCAGGAUGUGGUGGUGUGUGCCCACACAUAUAUACAUGUUUGUUCAGCAAUGGUUUGAUGAAGAAGUAAAAAUUGAAUAGUCACUUAAAAUUGUUCAUAAUAACAGUUUAAAAUAUAUUCUACAUUUUGGUGUUGUGAUAUAUUUUUAUUUACAGUUUUGGUAAUUACACACAUUACUACCAUACUUGCAUCAUUCCUCCUUCCAAAUACUCUCACUCUUUUUCCACUUCGUCUCACAUUAUUUACCUCUUGUACAUUUGGCAUUGGUGCAUAUAUACCCCUAUGUACAUAUAUCAAGAUCCUACCUCUAGGUGAAGUGUUACAGGUUGUUAAUGGUUGCUGAGUGAUGGAGAUUCAGUUUAUAUGUGUUACUUUAAAAUUACAUGUUUGUGUGUUUGUGUGGGGGUACAGACAAAUGAUUUUAGGUUCCCAGGGCAUUCAAAAGAAGGUGUCAGUUCCUCUCAGCUGGGGUUACAGGGCAUUGUGGGUAUUAGCUGUGACUGCUAGAACCAAAGUCUUCUCCUCAGGAGGAGCAGCAAGCACUCUUAACUGCUGAACUAUAUUGGCACCCCCAUCUUUACAUAUAUGAUACAAGCUUAUGAAGAGCAGACAUGUAUACAAUGCUGUUCUGCUGUUCCUCAGCUGCAGAGAAGGUGAGCUUAUGGUAAUUUAACUUUUUUUUUUGAGAGAGAAUUUUGUAGAAAAUAAAACAUUGAAAUUUAAAUGAUUAUAAUUGAGAAAGCAUUAUAACUGUCAAAAAUUUUAUGAAAGUGAGUAGGACAUUAAGUUAUAAUUAAAUAAAUUGGUGCAAGCAUGUUCUACGGAUUCAUAAUGAUGCCACAAUGAAAUUCAGUAUAUCAUCCAAUUAAUGCAUGCUAUGUAAAUUCUGUGAUGACUAUUUUACUCUGAAAAAUUAACAUGCAUUUUAGGAUAAUGACAGACAAAAACAACACAAUUAUUAAAAUAUUUUUAGUCUCUCUCAACCUUCUCUUCUUGAUGGCCUUUUGAAUGAAGCCUUCAGUACAUAAGAGUGGGUGGGGAGUCACUCUGCUGUGAGUCUCAUUGAUUGUGAAAUUGAAACCCUAGAAGUUCCUUCAUGCUUUUUCAAUGUUUUAAGGUUAUAUUUUUAUGCAGGAGGCUCACAGUAAAGCACAAAAAGGUUUUACCAAAGAGUCAAUGCACAGUUAGAUAAUCAAAGGCCUUCUUGCUUAUUUUUUUAUUUAAGUUUUAUUGAAUUAUGAUGAUAAAAGAUACAUAAUUUCAAUUUAUGAACAUGUUAACAUUGAAAAACAUAUUUUGAGUAAAUAGACUUAUAGACUUACAUCACAUUCUUCUUUCCCUUUUGUUCCCCCACUCCUCCCAGAGAUCCUCUUUCAAAACCUGCAAUACCUUUCAUUUUUAUCAUAUUUUAAAAAUUUAUAAAAUAUUGUAAUAGUGAGUAUUAUAAAAUUUGUUUGAUAUAAAACAACAAUCAAUUGAACAGUCUUAUGUAGAUAUUUGUUUACAGAAAUAUUGAAAAUACAUACAGCCUUCUUGCUUAUUAGGAGAGUCUGCAUCAUAGACUCAGGAGCUUUGCCCAUUUAUUCCAUCUGCUUCCUUCUCACUGUUCCUCCAUUCUCCCUUCAACCACAAUGCCCUAUAUGUUUACAUGUGUGAGAGUAUGUGUGUGAGUGUCUGUAUAUGAGUGUGUGUGCUAGUAUGGAUAUGUAUGUGAGUGUGUGUAGAUGUGUGUGAAAGUGUAUGUAUAUAAGUGUGUGUGUUAGUAUGGAUAUAUAUGUGAGGGUGUGUAGAUGAGGGUGUGAAAGCGUAUGUAUGUGUGUGAGUAUGUAUGUAUGUAUGUAUGUAUGUAUGUAUGUGUGAGUAUAUAUAUAUGAGUGUGUAUGUGUGUGAACGUGUGUGUGAGUGUAUGUUUGUGUGAAAGUGUGAGUAUGUAUAUGAGUGUGUGUGAGUAUUGUAUAUAUGUAAUUGUGUGUGAAAAUGUGUGUGAGUGUGUGUGACUGUGUGAGUGUGUGUAUGUAUGUGUGUGAAAGUGUGUGAGUGUGUCUAUGAGUGUGCAUAUAUGAGUGUGUGUGUAUUGUGAGUGUGAAUGUGUAUUGUGAGUAUAUAUAUGAUUGUGUGUGGAUGUGUGUGUGAACGUGUAUGUGAGUGUGUGAAUGUGUCAAUGCAGUUAGAUUGAUAUUUUGCAUGUGAGUUUGAGCAAUGUAAACCUCACAUUUUUUUCUCCCUGAUUUUUCUCUCUUCCUCCAUUUAGACACCAACUUCUUCCCUCAUAGCACUCAACUUUCAUGAUGCAUCUACAUAUGUAGGCAGAUAGAUAGGUGUGUAGAUAGACAACAGACAGGUGACACAUAUAUCAAAGUAUCUCUCAGCAUUAUAGUUACCUUUUUUUUUCCGAUUUCCACGUCUGUCCAUUUCUUGCAAAUGACAUAGAUCUACUCUUCUUUACAGCUAGAUAGAACUCCAUUGUAGGUACAUGACCAUUCUUCUGUUGAUGUAUGUUUAGAAUACUUUCUGUCAGCAUAACACUAAUCUAUCUGUAUGAUACCAAUACAAAACUACAAAGCAAAGAAGUCAAACAAGGACCAACGAUGUCUUGAGAAUCACCCUGUUUGAUCCACUCUUUUCUGUGUCCUAUUAAUAAUUCUGAUGAUGCCUACAGCAUCCAAGUAACUCUAUCUUUAGUGGGCCCUUGACCACCUGCUUCUGUGAGUUGAAUGCAAAUCUGGUAGAAUCCAUAGACAUUGGAGUAUGAUGAGAAGGAUGUGUCUGCAAAAAUAAGGUGUAAUGUCUUGAAGAUUCAGCAAAAGCAUUUGGUAGAUGGCUGAGUAGAGUGGAUGGUGGAUGUAGUGACUAAAUGUUUACAAGGAAUAAAUACAGUCUAGUUGCUCUCUGGACUUGGAACUUUUAAACCCCUGAUUUGUCUGUUCAUUUUGAAGAACAGAAAUUGAAAUCCUGUUUCUUUGGUUAAUAUCAUUUAAUUUUUGAGUAUUUCAUAUUUUAGUAUUGUAUUUACACUAUUCCCAUGCCUCCCUUUCUUUCUCCCUCUAACUCCUGUUUUCCCCCACUAAGCUAUUCAUCUAGAAUUGUUGCUGUUGCACACGCACAUGUACACACAUAAACGUGCACACACACACACACACACACACACACACACACACCAUGGAAUUCAUUCUGUAUUGCUAAUCUGUACCACCUGUGUUUAGUGUUGAGGAGCAGAAGGUCCUGGUCCUUGCCCAUUGUCUGCCUGUAGUCUUCAUCUGGGUAAAGCCUGGUGGAAAGUGACCACAGUGAAAGAAAAUAACAGUGUGGAAUUUCCCACAGUGCAAGGAAGACAGCACAGGAGUGCACCCAGAGUCUUAUUUACUAAGAGAAGAUAUCACUAGGUCUUUUAUAGCUGGCAUGGUAACAUGCAUUUACACAUUUAUGUGAAAAUUAUGUAUUUGUAGUCUGGGUGAUGGACUUCUGACUUACUUUUGAAUAACUUUCCUACUAGAUCAUCUAAUCUUUCAAAAUGUACCUUAAAAAGCAUAUGUUGUGGGGAUAACUUUGAAUGUUGUUGUAUUCAAAUUACUCUCCCAAAAUAAAUAUAUUCAUGAAGAUUAAUUAAAAUGUCCUUUUAUAAUUGAGAACUACAAAGGAUAAGGGAGACUGCAUGCUCUUUGGGGAAGGUGAUAGUCAGGGUUUAUUAAUUGUAAUAAUUGACAUUCUUGAGCACAAAGCAUAUGGAUGAGUUAUAGAGAAUCACUGGAAAUCAGGAAGAGGCAGACGUAGGAACAGUCUUCUCCUCAGAGAGUGCAUGUGGGAUCAGGUGAAUUGACAGGGACAGGAACCAAGGAAUUAGAGGACACAAGGCUGAUAACAAGGAUUCAGAGAACACAAAGCUGAUAACAAAGAAGACAGGAGUCAUUAGUGAUACUUUAUGCUGCAAAAGAACCCAGUAAGACCAAGCAUAGGAGAGCCUGAGUCAGGGGCAUCACACAUGUGACCCAGCACUGGAGAGGCUGAGGUAGGAGGGUCAGCGGGUCUAGCCCAGCUGGGUCGUAUGACAAUCCUGGCUCAGUAAUAUCAGUGGCUUUACUAUGUAGCCCACCCAGUCUCAGCUAGGUAGCUUACAGCAUGUUGCUUCCCAAUGGCCCACUGCCUGGCUCUUUCUGCAGUUUAGCUCACUACAGAGACCUGUGUGCCUUGCAAAGGAGUGAUUUGAUGACUGCUGCAUUGUUGGUGGCUAAUGAAGUUUUGUUGAGAGGGAAAAAAAAUUCAAUUUCAGAAAAGAAAAUGUUUAAUUGUAGGACUUUCCCACAUUUAUAUGAUGAUGUUGAAUAUUCAUUUUUGCCAAAUAUAGCUGAAUUAACACAUAGUUUUAGCAAACACAUUUUGUGUUGGAUUUUUUUCUGAUAAUUAUAUCUUCAAUAGUCUUAAGAUAGAGAAAUAUGAUUAUAUAUUUGAAUAUUUGUGUAUAAUUCUAAACUUUAAAAUCAUGAAAUUGAAAUGUUUAUAACAUAUAAUCUAGGAUUCUCAGUAUGUGUGCUCUGAAGUUCACAGUAAAUUUUAUAGGACAUGGAUGUAAAUACCAAUAAGGACAUGAAUUUGCUUGUUCUAACCUUUACUAACUUGAGGCUAGCCCAUUCUCUUGUGUUCUCUUUAUUUUCAGAUUAUAAACACUCCUGUUGGUUUUUCACUUUGGUAAUAUAAAUCAACUAUAUAUUUAUAUAUAAUAUAUGCUAAUAUAAAUUAUUCAUAAUGUAUAUACUCUUCCUGUAUAAUUUAAAACAUAACAAUGAUAUUUUCAUACCAUCUUGGUAAUCCUUCUAAACUGCAUCUCCCUAUAGACUAUAUAUAAAACUGUCAUCUUAUGGUCCUUUUUCAAAUCUUUUAGAAGGUUUAUAUUGACAUGCCCAAACAAGUUUAAACUCUACUUAAACAUUUCAUUUUCAAAAUACACGAGGCAUGAUUUUCUUCAGGCUAUUUAUAAUUACUUUACUUCUUGGAUCAAGCAGUGAUUACUCAAUGUGUUCAUAAAUGACAUCUUUUAGGGACUUCGCCAGUUCCUUAUGGUGGGGCACUCACACAAGUGUGAAGUUCCGAAGUUCUAUUAAAUCUGAUCAGAACUCAGUCAGCCUAAUAUCUUUUAACUCUGCCAAUUGCUUUGUACCAGUCCUGUCUGUAGACUCGGGGCCUUUCAUCCAGGUCACUUAGUUUAAAGAUAAUCUCACAGAGGUAACCAGGCAAUCGUGUAUGCUGUGUCUCUGUUAUGAUAUGCUUUAGACUCAGUCUCCUUUGCUACCAAACAAAUGGGGUUCAGCCAAACCGCUUCUCUCCUUCAGUACUGUUGCAUAGUUUGUAUCUGUGAAGGUCAGUGCCUGGCUCACUGCCAUGUAUUUAAAUUCAGACUCACUUUAAUUAGUGAACAGAAAGCAUUUAAAAAUCAUCUUUUAGACAAGUCUAAGAGUUGGGUGGAGGACACCUGUCUAUCAUAUAAACGUGGGAUGCAGGCUUUCAGCAUGUGUAGAAGGACAAAAGACUUACUUCUUUCACAGUCUAACCUUAGGCCAUUCAUUUGGCCAAUCAAACCCAGUUUUUCACAAAGCACGGAUGAGGCAAGGGGGAUCCCUGGGGAAUCAAUGUUUUCUGAAUACAUAGUUCAUUAAACAGUACAGGGAAAACAGUAUUCAUGUUAUUUCAGAACUUUCCAUUGUAAUUAUUUUAUAAAUAAUUUACUUUAAAAUGGGAACACAUGUACCAAGAAAUAAAAUGACUAAGAUUGGAAUAAUUAUUUAAAAGGAAUGAAAAAUGAAUAAAAUAGGUGAGUGUAAUAAGUUCAAGAUAUACAACAUUUCAGGAUUCCUGAGACAGACUCACACUGCAGGAAUAGAAAUUGUUGUACUUCAUUAUUGUCAAAAAUGUUUACUAGGCUGCUCGUUGAUCACACUCUCAUACUGCUUUAUCAAUGGAAAGGUGGGUUUUUCCUUAGAAGGAAUGGUAAAGCCCUGCAGUGUGGCUCAGUGGGUUGACUGCUUAAUCAGCAUACAGAAAGUACAUGGACAAGGUGUAGUGAUGCAGGCACUUCAGAGGGAGCGACAGGGGGAUUAAAACUUCAAAGUCAUUCUCAGCUCCAAAGCAAGUCUGAAGCCAGAUUACUGAACAUGUGACCCCAUCUCAAGAACAAACCAAUCAUCCAAAAGACAGGCAGGCAGCAGGCAGGCAGGCAGGCAGGCAGGCAGGCAGGCAGACAGACAAAAAACCAAGGAAGAGUUUAACAUGUGAAGAAAAAGAACAGAGGUUUCCUUCUCAUGGUGGUUUAAUACUGCAGAAGACGAUGGUAAGAAUAAGUGCGUAGUAAACACUCUUGGUCUUAUCAUGGAUGAAACUAGUUUUAAGGGGCAUUGUUUAACUAUAACUAGAACCAUAGUUAUGAUGGGUUAAUGGUCCCCAAAACAUUGCCAGAAUGCACAUUAGGGGAGUUUGGCUGAACUAAAUUGGAUCCCCACCCUGCUCCAUGGUCUUUUCUGAUAGUCAUUACUUCUUUUUUUUCUUUUUUCUUUUUUUUUUUUUUUUUCAUCUUGGUUCAGGUUCCAUGAUAACAAAGAAAAGUAAAAAGAAAUUUCAGCAUGGGUUAGAGGGAAAAUCUAAGUCUCAGAGUCAGCAGAAACACACCCCAUGUUAAAGUGACUGUUAGGGACCUUCCAGAAGUGCCCCUGGGACAGUGCUAUUUCCAUGAAACCCACAAUACCAGUGAAUGUGUGUCUAAUAUACACAUCAGUGCAUUUAUACAGUAGGGUUUUUUUUUUAUUAGUUUUGUAUUUAGGAUAGUUACUUAGAAUUUAAAAGUAUAGUGGGUGAGAGAGUGAGUGUGUGUGUGUUGGGAUUUUUUUUUUUUGAAUUUAAGGUAAACCCCAGAGUUGGAGUGUAACUUUUAUUCACUGCAAACCAUGACUGACAAUGGCUUCAAGGUCUUGAUCCCAGCUAGCAUUGCUUUCUAGGCAGCAUAGCUCUUGUGUGAACCUCCUUCCUUCCUGCUGAUCUUUAACUUUAAGCCAUUUGAGAGGCACGACCUUGUCUUUAUAAUCUUAAUGUGUGUUGGGGAAUGGUCAAGUACACAGAAAGGCGUCCAAAGCUUCUUAGUCCCUGUUGGGGAUUUCUUGCAUCUUGACAGUGUUCAUAGUCUUUAUCUGUCUAAUCUCAGAAGCACCAUGACCUCCAGUUCCACAUACCAAGCAGAGGUCAAUCACUGCCCAAAGACUCCUUUCUAGAUUGAAUGACCACUCUCAGAGCCACUAGUAUAUAAAGCUCAGCUCACAGCUUCUCACCACAUGGAGGAAUGGGAAUGUAGGAGAGUUUGAGAUUACUGGAGAAUAUCUGUUUGUGUUCCACUGCUAUCCACGACUUCUGGUGCUUCAAGAAUUCUACUUCAGGCCACAGAGAUGGUUCAACUGUUAAAGACACUCUCUGCCAAGUUAGGGAUCUGAUUUAGAUCCUGGGACCCACAUGAUAGAAGGAGAACAUGAAAACUGUUCCAGGCAUUUACAUGUGCAUGCAUGUGUGUGCACACACAAACACACAAAAUAUAUAAACAAAUGUAAUAAAAAUACUUUUAAAAAUUCCAUGUAAAUAUUUUACUUCAACUUCAACAUUAAAAAGAAACAAAGUCUUGAUUCUGGUAGGGGGAAGGGGGAGCACUUUCUCGGAGGCAAAGAGGAAGGGGGUGAAGAACUCUUGGAGGGGGAACCAGGAAGGGGGGCAACAUUUGAAAUGUAAAUAAAUAAAACAUUUUAAAAGGUUUUUAAUAAUUGUCAGAAGAAAAGACAUUUAAAUGUAUAACAUCUGUAUUUUUGUUCUAUGAAUUUCAGGAAUCUGGACUUUUUGAGGUUGGUUUCAAGGAAGCAUGAUGAUUAAACUGCCUUGGGGUGGAGAGCUAGAACAGGAUAAAAAGGAAGUGAACCCCAGGGAGCUGGAAGGGAAUGUUUCAAUAGAGCUAACCUUUGAGUCCCCUUCGCACUCCAUUCCCCCUAUUUAUUCUUGAACGAAAACUCUAUAAUGUAUCCAGCAGGAUGGAAAUAAGCUAAUAGGCGAAUACCUAGAAGGCAGCGAUAGACUGGCAUCAAUCUUGGUUACGAAUGUUCAUAUUUCUCAUUCUACAUCACUUUUCUUCAGUCUUCACCCACUCCUAUGAGGGUUUGUAUGCACAGUUCUCAGCUGAAGAAUGCAGAGAAGUGGCUGAGCCACAGAGAUCUCACUUGGACAUUGGGUUACUUGGACAUUGGGUUACUGUUUGUCUUACCCUGAACACUGCUCUAUCAAUCAGUCUGUUACACCAAUUUUACAUUCAUUUUGCAUUUUAUCCUUUAAGGUAAAUCCAAACUGUAAUGUAUCUUUAAUCAUGUAAACAAACUUUGAUAUGACAGUGAAAAACUAAAAUUGCUGUGUUUGUGUGGAAUAUAUAUUCUAGAUUUUUAUAUAAAUUACAGAUCAUUAUUUUCUUCUCCUUCUGUGAGUUAUAACAAUUAAAUAAAUAUUGGGAAACAUUAUGUUUGUUGUGGAUAAUGUAAUGACUCCAUAGUUGGAGUCAUUACAAUUCAUAAUUUUAUUUAAAUUCUGAGUGUGUAUUUUCUACCUUAUCAUCAAUUUAAGCUAGGUAAACUAGAUGAAGAAGCCAGCAAGUGAACUAUCUUGCUUCUAAGAGGUGAGUUGGGUAGAAAAAGGGAUCUGGCCAGUGGUUGUGUAGGUAGAGUUCUCCGUGAAGAGCAAUGGAAGCAGGGUUUUUGGGACCUCAUCUGGAUGAACAUCGCGUCAACAUGUGACAUUUCUUCAUGAUACCAUACUAGUCUGAGGAGCACUCAGCAGACACUAAUUGCCAUCUGGUGAAAAAAAAAAGUGAAAAUCUAUUCAGUGUGUGCCAUGUGUGCGUAAUUGUUAACCUAAUCAGCAGACUACCAAGACUGAGUGGUGCUGGUGACUGAUAUGACAGCUGUAAGCAAAGCCUGUGGCACCUCAUUCUGUAAGCCAAAUGAACCAGUGAUGGGGUGCCAAUGCCUGGGAUUUUUAUUGAGUUGUACAAUUCAUCUCCCUUCUAUAUAGUUCAUAUAAUUUCAUGACUGCAUAUGAAAUAUGAAAUGAAACAUACUUGUUUCUAGGGCUUCUUUUUGUUAAAGAUAACUUUUAGCCCCCACUUUAGAGAAAAGAUAAUGCAUAUUGACCACUGUUCCAUAAAAGUUUCAGUGCUUAAACAUGAGAUGUGCUUUUGAUAAGUGAUGGAAGGCAUGCUUAAAUAAGCAAAAUGUAUGUGCUGCACAGAGAACACAUUUGCUCACACCAAACAUAACACCUAAUGAGUGAGAGGAGAGCUCAUUUUCCAAGAUGUCUUUUAUGCAAAGUGUGCUUGCCAGCACGAAAUCAAAUCUCAGUUUUGGAUGAAACGAAAGACAGAGGCUGUCUCUGCAGCCCAUCAACACCUUUGGUUGAGAAGUACAUGUUUCUCAGCUUUGUCAUUCAGACAGAGUGACAUUGAUUGUCUCAUUUCCUAGCUGUUGUCAUAUCAGCAAUAUUGUUACUAUCCAGGGCAAGUUAAGAUGUCCUGAUUUCAUUGGUCUUCAAACAGCUGUUUGUUUAUUCUUCUAUUCACUAUCUAUCCAACACCUAUUGUUGUUUUAGACAUUUCAACUCUCUUUUCAUGUUGCUAAAAGUAAAAUAACAGGUGUUCUUGAAUUUGAUCCAAAUCACCACUAAGGUUCUUGUCCCAGUUAGGUUUCUGUUGCUGUAAUAAAUAUCAAAGUAACCUGAGGAGGAAAGGGUUUGCUCAUCUGACAAUGUAUAGUUCUCAAACAAGGAAAGCCAGGAGAGGAACCUGGAGGCAGGAACUGAAACAGGAGAAGUGCUGUUGGCUAUGUUGUUCAGCUUUCUUUCUGGGGCCCAUCUGUCUAGGGGGUGGGACUACCCACAGUGGGUAGGACUCUUUCCAUCAAUUAACAAUCAAAAUAUGCCCAAAGAUCAGCCUGUUGGAAGCAAUUCUUCAGUUGAGUUUUCCUGCUCCCAGGUGACUCAAAGCUUAUGUCAGGUUAACAGGCAAAGCUCACUAUGAUAGCUCUUUGUUAUGAAUGACAUUUACCCUACACAGUGAAGGUCCCUUUCUAAGGGCUGGAUUAUUGAACCAAGGAGGUUUCAACUUUCUUCCAUGUCAGAAGGGGCUCUGCUCACAAACUUGUUUUUCUUAAUGAGAAAUCUUGCAAAGGGCACACUACUGUGAUGGGCCUCAUGUAGUACUGGCAAAUGGCAUAAUGACAGGUUAUCAGAGAACUUUAUAGAUAGAAAAUGAAUUUGGAUACUGGGGCUAAACUUUCUUGAAGAGACAUCAGUUGCUUCCACUUCUGCUGAAUUGGAUUAACAAGUCUUCGAAAGUGAGAAGUUUGGAGGAGUCAAAAAUAAGAGAUAAUUUAUUAAAGAGGAAAGGACAUCUGUGAAAUUUACCAAUAUUAUAUUUGUUAAUAAAAUGGUUUAUCAUGCUGUGCAUAGAUGGAAAACUAAUAUAUUAUUCUGAAAACUUCAGCAGCUUUCAAGCCUUCUGCUUGGUAGGUGGGAUAGAAGCAAGAUUUGCCACUUGUUUUAUUAAGUUUUCAAAUUGCCUUUGGCUCCUAAAUCAUUCAUUUCCUCUAGGUAAUGAGGGAAAAUUAUAAAGAUUUUGCUAUUAGAAGACAGCAUGGUUGAAGCAUCGGCAAAUACUGCCAUGAAAGAGUUGUGGAUGUACUGUGUAUAAAAUAGAUUUUAAAGGCAGAAUACAGUGCUUAAAUCCAGAUAACUAAGAGUAUACAUGACACUCUUUGAGAAUUAAAAUUCUUAAUGAUGAACUCUGAUAAUUCAGGGAUGUUCAUGUGUCAUUUUCUAAGUUAUAUGUUUUUUUACUAAUGAUGGUGUAGAGAUCUGUAAGAAUAUAAUACAAUUUCAUACCCUCCAAGUCACACUCAUGAGUUUGACUCUUGGUAGUCAAGGCAAAGAGGUAUUUUCAAGAACUACACACACACACAAACCCACGUAUAUAUGUGUGCAUGUGUUGCUAAGUCAUAUGAACUGGGGUUACCUACCUAAGAGAUGUUUUCAGUUGGUUUUGGUGUUGUAGAGUACAGAAAUGUUGAAGGAUUUAAGUGAAAUAUGGGUUUUGUAAAGAACUUGGUGUAGGAUGGAAGGCAUGGCAAUUUUUAACUUUACAAAAUGUUACCCAUGGCUGGUUGGGAAACUCUUGUCUUGAGAAAGUUGUCCAAGCCAUUUCCUUUAGCCCCCAAAGUAAUGAGAUUCCCCAAAGAUAUACAAUAUUUUACACAUCCAUUCAUUAAUUAAAAGUCAAUCAGAGUAUUUUUGUCUCUCAGACAACAGAAUUCAUCUACAAGGAUUUUAGAUUUUCAGAUUUUGAUCCAUUUUUAUGAGGAAAACUUAGUACUUAUGUAUGAAGUUGUCAAAAAUUAAAAAAAAUAAAAAUAGUAAGUAAUGAUGUAUUAAAGAUAUUUUUCAUAUUCGCUUGUUGAAUUAAUCUUGAAUCUCAACUUUGGUCUCUGAUAAAAUGUCCCUGAUGCAAUUUUGUUUGCUGAAAAUGCCAUAUUACCCUCAGGAAGCCAACUCUACUGUUCUCUGAAACCAACAUGACAUUGUUUUCAUCUGAGAGCACACAGAGCUCAGUGUCUCCUCAGCCCAUAUCUCUCAGUGAACAGUGGGUGUGAACUCUGACAGCUCCCAAAGGCUCCCUCCUCCUCUUCACAGGAGGCAUCCUGUUUCUUCUCCUGCAUCUGCCUUCAUAUCCUCUGCUACCUUAGCUAAAUGGAAAAGAUCCACUCCUGGCUGUGGUUCAGGAGAUGGCAGAAAGAUUAAUACACCGAGGUAGAUGAUGAGUGUUGGUUUAUCAGGAAGCCCCUCUUCAGGCUCAUUUCCAAUCUAUAAAAAUAUCCUAAUUUUGUACCUUGAUCUCAAAUUCAUUGUCUGACUUUCCUGCCUGAACUUCUGGGCAUCUUGCCUAAUGAGAUGAAACUAUUCCCUAAAAGUCCCCAAUGUCUUAACAAAAAUACUCUCAAUCCCUCAAGUGUUUCCCAAUGGGAGAAAAUGAACAUGGAUGAGAAAUGGAACUGUGUUGUUCAAUAUCUUAAGAGAAAAUCACUGCUGUCAGGCUCAGCGCAAAUUCUGAAGCUAGAGUGCCAAUUAAGUGAAUUUAAUAAAUUGAACUAUUUCCACAUUCUUCAUGUUAUCCAUUGCCAUGGCUCCCACCUUGAGAAACUUCAGUACAUAAGCUUGCUGGUUUGUUUGAGGUAGAAAGUUCUUUAAAUUAAAGCAACAACAAAAGCAAACAAAACAUAAACACCUUUUAGGUAACACUAACUGAUUGUUCCAUAGCAACAUAAAUAUUUCCUAUUCCUGGAAACUGUCACCUUUCCUUGACUUUGACCAUUCAUACUCAGCCAGAGAUAUGCUAGAUGUAUUCACAUCAGUUAUUAUCUUUUCCCAGAUCUGUGAAUCAGGCAUGGGUAAAAUUACAUGUUACUUCUAGGAAAGAGCGCAUGAAGACCCCAGAAUGAGCAUCCAUUUUAAAUGAAGUUAUAAGUUAAAGCCACCCCUACUGACCUUCCCACCACAUCUCAUCUUGCUCUCCCUCUGACUCAGCUCCCCUUAGCUAAUCUUCCUUUCUCUCUGAAUCACCUCACACCCACUCACCCUUCCCUAUAUUAUUUUUCUUGUUUCAAUGCACAGAAAAGUUUUUUAAAUGAAAAAUUAAUUCAUAAAUUAUAGAGUGACUUUAAAGCCACAAAAUUUAACUAUUAGAAAAUAGAAAUGCACAAUUAUCUUUGAGAUAGGCUAGAAUUGUCACUAUCUGUGCAUGGCAUACAACUGUCCACCUCACUAUGAUAAAGUUGAUGUCCUUUUGAAUUCUGUGAGUGAGCUGGGACCCAUAUAGUAUGAGUAUAGGCUAUUGAAUAAACUUUAACUAUGCCAGCCAAACCUGCAAGAUAUUAAGUAGAUAGUUUCUAUGUAAAAAAAAUUAGAUAUUGCUAAUCUAAAAGGAUUCGAAAACCAUGCAUCUUCUAGGAAAAUACACUUUUAUACUUGUAUAAUUAAUUAUUGCAGACAAACUACCAUGGUGUCCAUACAAUAAAAAUGAAUUGAUAAAAGUUUUCUAAAUUAAGUCUCUUCUUUUUUACUCAGUUUGUCUAAACUAUCAUUUAGAAUGAAGGAAAUUUAAGUUGUAGAACUAAUCUGAGAAAAACAAUUUACUAGACAGUUAUAAUGAACUCAAAGGAGGGUGAAUUUUUGUCUUUUGUGUUCUUUUGGAUAUAUAUAUAUAUAUAUAUAUAUAUAUAUAUAUAUAUAUAGUCUAUGUUGUGAUUGUUUAACAUUAUACUGGACUAACAUUCUAACAUUCAUAGAAAGUGUGGUUAUUUAGUAAAAUUCUAUAGAAUGCAUGAGGCAUGCUUUGUCUAAAAUGAGCCCUUGCUUAAAAACACAAACAUAAAUUACUAUAGAAUGUGCAUUGUUCAGCUACAUAAAAUACAUGCCUCUGCAAGGUAUAGUCUGACCUCACAAGGUGUAACAUGCCCCUGAGCUUCAGCUUUUAUACCCAGUUGCAGGAGAGUGUGUAGGAAAUAAGAGUUGCUUUUAAUGUUCCAUUACUCUACACACAUUCUCUAUUUUUACCCAAGAAUCUUCACAUAGGCAAGAGACCAUCCAGUACUUCAGCCAGGGCACAUCACAAUGAAGGAAUUCAUGAGUUUAUAAAUCUAUCGGUCCUUUCAAUUUAUCUGGAGAGUUCUGGCCAACAAGCUAGAUAGCAGUACAAGGAGUAGGUCAUCCUGGGAGAUAAGAGCAUCUCCAUAUCUGGGCAGUGGCGAUUUCCCAGUGGGGAGAGCUCUUCAAACUGUAGAUAAUGGCCUGUUACGGCUCGCUGCUGGCACAGAAAAUCAUACUCUUUUUGGUUUCUGUAUCAUUUGAAUGUGUUUCAAUGGCUAUGAUUUUAUUUAAUUAUGUCAAAAGAGCACAUGUGAUCAUUAUUAAGUUUCUAAUAAAAGUGGACACAGGGAAGGGAUUUCAUAUACUAAUGUAGACCUUGCCUGUUAAAGCCCUUUAGCAUCUGGUGUCACAGGGCCCUGAGACUUUUCAGCAGUAGCUUGUGCUACGUGCACUGUAUUUAUAGGCAAACAAGAAAAGAGAAGGGAAGUCUUCCCUGACUCAUCUUACAUAGUCCUAUUACAUUGGAUGAUUUCUUAUGUAAAGGGAAUGUUCGGUAUUUCCUUGUCUCUAGUUUAAAAUGCAGCUACAUUGAGUUAUUUCUAUAAUGAUUUAUCAUUACUUUUUCAAUGUGCAUGUACUUGGGAAGUGUUGAGAAAUACUUUUCUUAGGAGCUAGGCAAAAUGUAAUUAGGUAGGAAUAUAAAGGACAUGCAUUAAUCAGGAUUCCUCAGGAAAGCUGAAUAAACCGCAUAGACACACACACACACACACACACACACACACACACACACACACACUGGAAAUGACAUAAAUGGAAAGUAAUGCUGAUGAUUGUGACUGUCGAGUUGAUAGUGUGUUUUGCAGCAGGCAGGCUAAGCACUCAGCACAGUUUCUCUCUACAGAGCCUCUCCAAAUACUUCUGUUUUAGCUCCUAAGACCUUAAACUGGAGGUGACCAUACUGUUCCUCCCACUUGUGUUGGGUGUCUGCUUUGCUGAAUCUAGUGGUAAAAGGGGGAUAAUCUGAGAAACCAUUGCAGUGGACCAGACCGCUGCGGAGUUAACCAUAACUUAUUAAUAAAAACCAAGUUGAUAUCAUUAUGGCUGUCACUACAGAGAUCCAGGCAUGGAAGUAAGAUCUGUAUGAGACCUCUGAUGAGGAUGACAUCAGAGUUCCCCUCCUCAGGUGAUGUAUAAUUCUAGCACUUUUGUUUUUGGUUCUCAGCCUGGCAGGGCAUCACUGUUCCCUUCUGUAGCUCAACUUCUUUAGGCUCAAUCUAGUUGGCAUCUCAGUUUAAAUGUUGAGUUUCAGUUGAUACUGUUUACUUAACACAGGUCUCCUUUGGAAGUCAGGUAAGAACUACACUGUUUGCCACAGAGUUCAGUCUUCAGUUCUCCAUUUUUAAAACCCUUACCUUUGAUUUGGUAUCAGAUAGCCAAUUGGUGUGCUCUUCCCUGAGGAAGACUUUUUCUCCCACUCUUAGCUCUUAGCACUCAGAUAGUUGUCACAGAUCUAGCUCUGUGUGGGGUUGAAUGUGCGUGUUUCCCCUAGUCCAUGUUAGCAUGUUGAGUGUCAUGCUUUCUCAAGGCCAUGUUAACAUGUUCAGUUUUGUAAUUCUUAUUCAGCUCAGGUUUCUGAAGAUGUGUUACUGACAUUUUAUGGGUGGAGCUUCUGACAUUCCCAGGAAACAGUCUCACUGCAAGCUCUUUACCCUCUGACCCUUAUCAUCUUUCCAAAUGGUCUGCCCUGAAAAAAAAAUCAUUUGUAAAUAUAGACAUUAAAAUAUCUAUAAUAUAUUAUAUAGUUAUACAUUAUAUAUGAUAUACAAAUAUAUAACACAUUUAAAUAUAAUAAUUUCAUAUGAUAUAAACUACAUGUAUAUAUGACUAUAUAAUGAAAUAUAUAAUCAUUAUAUUACUAUAUAUGAUGGUCAUAAUAUAUUGUUAUAUUCCCUAUAUUUAUUUAUAUAUAUAUCUAUAUAUAAUUAUAUUUAUUAUAAUAAUUUAAAAUGUUAAAUAUAAUGUUAUAAAGAUAAUUUUGUAUAUUUUCUUAUUUGUUGUACUUUACCUGUUUGUACUUUUGCAUCUAGGAACACACACACACGCACACACACACACACACACACACACACACACCCAAGAACUAAUGAAUGAAAGAAGAGACCAUAAAUUGGAAAAAGAGCAAGGAAAGUUAUAUAAGAGGGGUUAGGAGGGAGGAAAGAGAAGGGUAAAUGAUGUCAUUGUAUUGUAAUUUCAAAAAACAAUAGAAAUAAAAUACAAUGUUUACCCUAUCAUCUACCCCAUGUCAUGGAAAGCACUCCGUGUCAGUACUUGAUUUCAUAUCUUCUCUAGCACUUUAUAGAGUCUCUGUUUACUCAAGUUCACAGCCAGCAAUCAGGAAAUGCAUGUUGUAGUAGAUAUGUUCGAUUUUUACCCACCUAUUAGCAAUACUAGAACUUGGUGUUUGUAAUUUUAUAAUCACACUUGCUCUUUCUCAAGAGCUCUGCCUGAGCUCCCUCAACUUCCUCCUGUGGCAGUUUAGUUGUUACCUGACUUCCAAAGGAGACCUGUGUUAAGUAGACAGUAUCAACUGAAACUCAACAUUUAAACUGAGAUACCAACUAGAUUGAGCCUAAAGAAGUUGAGCUACAGAAGGGAACAGUGAUGCCCUGCCAGGCUGAGAACCAAAAACAAAAGUGCUAGAAUUAUACAUCACCUGAGGAGGGGAACUCUGAUGUCAUCCUCAUCAGAGGUCUCAUACAGAUCUUACUUCCAUGCCUGGAUCUCUGUAGUGACAGCCAUAAUGAUGUCAACUUGGUUUUUAUUAAUAAGUUAUGCUUAACUCCAUGUACAUUUGGCUGACAGUACCUCCCAGGGAUCCACAGGGGCUCUGCCAAGCUGCCCUCCCCAGCUGUGACCUUUCUCCUGCCCACCUUAGUACCUGAAGAUGAAAAACAUCAGACAGUCUUAAUAUUUUAAAACUUGCCAGAUAACUCAAUGGCUGGGGAAAGAAUAUCCUGCCUCAUCCUCCUUGAUCUCUGCCCAUGGUGGAGGCUACAAACUAUAGGUGCCCCAAGACCUACAUGUCUGCCACUUCUUCUGCUCCACUGCCUGUUCUGCCUCCUCCCUCUCUUCCUUCUCUUUUCCUCUUGGGACCCAGAAGUUCCACCUUUUUCCCUUUGCCCAGUGAUUAGCUUCUGCCUCCUUUAUUGACACAAUCAAGAACCAAUUAGGAAAUCAAUACCUCCCUGUACAAGAACUAAUCACAGGAAAAUGUCAUUUCUCAGCCCAGAUUGGCAACAUUGGAAAUACCAUGAACUUAGUAGGCAAAACAAACAAAUAAACAAGCAGGAAACUCAACAGAAAUUUACUUCUCAUGGAUAAGAUGAGCAAGAAGUUCCAUGUUAGGUGCCAGGCAUUUGGUUCCUGGCAUUGUGGUUCCCACAGAGAGAAUCUAUUGUGUAGAAGGGACACAUGGGACACAGGGAAGGCUUCUACCAGGCCUCUUGCACGGAUGGACCACACUGCUUAGAGGGGGUUCUAUUGGAAGGAGACACAGAUAUCUCUCUCUGCCAGUCCCCUUUCAGUGCCCCACUUUGCAAUGUUAUGCCCUUAGUCAUCUGUUUUCAAAAUGAGAAAUUUGAGAUCUUAGCAGUGGGUUUUGCUGUAUUUGAAAGUUUAAAAUUAGUUCAUGUGGAAACAAUCCAGGAUAAUCAUAUAGAAAAAAAUAUUCUUUAAGUGUUCAUCCUUUACCUCUGUAAACGAGUUUUCCCUAAUAAAAUGUCUAUAUAAGGCUUUACUUCAUGCCCAUUGUUGUCCUCAUGAGUAUCAGAGGAUCAAGAAAAGGACUCAGUACGUUGGGGUGAGAGAAAGGAAAGUGUCUUGUAAAAUGUCCCUCCCAUUUCCACCAUUAAAAGUCUGUUCAUAGCUUAUUACAGUUACAAGAUGAUGACAGCCUCAGUGUUACAGGGAUGGUGUGCAAUGUGAUGCUUCCAGGAAAAAUUUUGAGUAUGCUCAUAGCUUGAUUUCUGAAUCUUUGAAUACCUUAUGUCUUGAAGUAGCUCCUACCCUUUUUAGAAGCAGGGGUAGGUAUGGUUACAAGGACACUGUUGCUGUGGGUUCUCCAGUGGAAGAUGAAAUAUGAAUGAAGGCAAAGAGGUGGCCUGGAGAAGCAGGCCAUGUCUGUGACACAUGAAGAAUCUGUGACACAGAUCCUUCUGUGGAAGCUUUAUGCCUAGAUGUCCUAGACCUAAAGAUUAAAAUUGGAUCCUCUGAUUAGUCAUUCACUUAGUGGACUCGGGGUUAGGUUCAAUAUGCAUUUACUGAUUGUUUGUUGCUAUUGCUGCUGGAGGACUUUUCAUGUCUUAUGAGUUAAAAAUCAGGCACUAGCAUACAUUUCUUUAGUUGUUGUUUAAAGUGCACAUGCUGUCCUGAAAACUAUGGAUGGGGAGAUUUACCCCCAACCACACCCCUUUCCAUCCAACCCACAGGAGAAGACUCUGGAUUUUCUCUUCUUGAGGGAAGAAACCACACAGGACACUGGAACCCCACCCCACCCCCCGCCAAAAAAAGAGUUCAAGGCCAGCAAACCUAACUACAGUGCACCACUCAGAAUGUGGAUCACACUGGGUGGGAACUCCAAACAAUGCCUCUCACAGCUGGGCAUAUGUAUCCUGGUCUACCAUUUCUCCAUCUGUGAGGUCAUCUAGGCUGAUCUACUUCCUGGAACGAACAGAGACUUUUCUAGAUCUCAUCCUACCCAUAAUUCCUUCUGUUGCAAUUAGAUGCAUUAGAUGUAAGAAUAUGUAUAUAGAUGUAAUUGUCCACCAGGCUCAGAAAAAAAUAGGGGUGCCUAAGAAAUCUAGGGGCUUCUUUCUGGAAGCAAGGCAGGACCAUUCCAGCCUGGCUUUCUUAUUUUCCCAAUCUCCUUCCUCUGUGGUCUCAGCAUUGCACUCUUGUCUGAGUGAAAACUUUAUUAUCUCCUCCAAGUGCUCUGGAUCUCUGGUUUUUUGCCAUAACAUUCAUUGUAUUCAGAAUACUAGAGACUUAAAAUAUAUUAUUUUGUCUUAAAACACAGAGGUAUUUCUCAAGCACUUCCUUUAUUUAAAAAACACACUUAAUAAUUACACUUUUUGAAAUCUACUAAGAAGUAUUUUUUUUCUCAAGUGUUAAGAAAAUGUGCCCAAAAUAUUGGUCAUUAAUCACUUCAAGCUUUUCUAUUGGUUGUUAAUCACUUGAAGCAUCUCUGUUUAGUUAUGUAUUUACAGGCAGUAUGGAUGAUAAAAAGCAAACUUUGUACAAAAUCAUGAUAACGUUGAAAGAAUUCAAGAGAUCUGUGACCCCAGAUCUGUAAACAUGUCCUUAUGAUACGUGAUGGAUUUGUAACAUUGAAUUAUGUUGGUUAAAUCUUCUGAGGUUAAAUUGGUGUGUUCUCACAAAACAUGCAAAGUAUGUCAUAUUGUUAAUAGGCUAGCCUUCAUAUAUUAUUCCACUAAGUCAAUCUCUAUCUCUCUACAUAUCUGCCUAAUAUCUACCUAUCCAUCUGUCCAUCUAUCUAUCCAUCACAUGUCAUCUAUCUAACUGUAAUUUCUAAAGAUUUAUUAGAAAACCAUCAUGAUGUAUUUAUCCAGAAACAUAAUUGGAAAAUUCAUAGGAAAGUUAUAUAUUUAUUUGGUAACCAUGCAAAUUAAAAAGGGUAUGUGUAAAAGUUAUAACUUCUGUAUAUUUAAGAAAAAUUAAUACACAUCUUAAAGAAACUCUAAUGCCUGAGAUUCUGGGGAUGUAGAUUGAACAAGACAGAUAGAAAACAGUUGAAUCAAACACAGGAAAAGUACCAUUUUGUGCUCAAGUCAUUGGAUUCAUCAUAAGAGUCUGCUGAUACCUACUUGUCUUUCUCUCACUUGAGCUCAGGAGAGUGUGGCUACUAGCCAUGGGAGUCAGACUACUCCGUGCUGUGGAGUAAUUUUGAACACGUGUUUUACUGUCUCUCUUUUUAAUUUCUUGCCUUUAAUAAAUUUAUUUUUAGUGUCAGUGGAUAUAAUACCACUGAUCUGUUUUUCUGCCAGGAGAAAUAAAUUAACUAAUACAGCUCAAUGAUUUAGAUUGCCCUGAUGAUAAAAACACUCACCCAUGGCUGUGCCUGUAUUAUACUGAAUCACAUAUAACUUCCUGUGGAACAACAUUCAAGAGUCCUGAAAGCAGAAUGCAGAGAAACUCAAAAUAAAAUAUACAUAUUGUUUCAGUUCUUUUUGUUGCAAAUUGCUUAAACACAUAAUGAAGUGAAGUGUUGUCUCUAGUAUUAUCAUUGAGCUUUAAGAUGGUAGAAUUUGCAAAUUACCAUAUGGUUUAUAUUAAGUGAAAUGGACAAUGAAUAUAGACUGAGCAAAGGGUCCUUUUAAUUUUGUUUUAUCCCUUAACACAAGAUUAAUAGUCAUGAGCUUAGAGUUAAGGACUGUGCUGGCUGUUAGAAUUUUAAAAUACAUAAUAUAGAAUGAAGGGUAUUAAUAAUUAAUGAGACUGAGUUGUUUGCAACCUUAUUCCUGUACAAUGAGGGAGAUGACAAGUGGAUGUUAAAUGUUUUAAAGUGGAAACAAUCAAUGGAGUUCCCAAGACAGUCAACACUUCCUAAAGGAAAAAAACACAGAGGAGAUGGUAGAGUAAAUGACAGUGCUCUUUGUAGAGAGGAAGAGAGUGGGGGAAUUGAAAAUAUGGAGCAGGGCAUGGAGGGAAUUAGAACUGCCAUCUGAAUGUUGGUGUGUAGGAGGUGAGGCUGGAAACUAGAGAAGCAGGUAAUGAGCUGGUGGCUACAAAAGUGCAAUAGGUUACAUUCCACUGUGGGGUAAAGAUUGAUUCCAGCAUCAGGGUGGUUGAGGCAACUACACUUUGUAAAGGUGAUGCCUAGGAAAGCUAAGCAGGAGGCAGUAUGUACAGUUGAUAUUCCUGCAGAUUAUUUCAAGUAGACAGUGGCCAGGCCAAUACAACCCAGCUUUACAGAAGGAAGAGGAGCAUGUUCUGUAGCAGGACAUGCAAGUGUUUCAAAGUGGAAAGAAUACUUUGAAAUCUCCGAGUGACAGAAGGUUACAGAGGUACAUAAUUAGUGUCCUCACUUUCAUGUUAAACCUGUGCUUUAACUCCACACUAAGCAGACAUACACCUGGAAGUCCAUGUCCCCUGUGCUUCCUUAAAAUUUUCCAAGACAUGGAAACCGUACUGGCUAGUUUUGCGUCAACUUGACACAGCUGGAGUUAUCACAGAGAAAGGAGCUUCAGUUGAGGAAAUGCCUCCAUGAGAUCCAACUGUAAGGCAUUUUCUCAAUUAGUGAUCAAGGGGGAAAGGCCCCUUGUGGGUGGGACUAUCCCUGGGCUGGUAGUCUUGGGUUCUAUAAGAGAGCAGGCUGAGGAAGCCAGAGGAAGCAAGCCAAUAAAGAACAUCCCUCCAUGGCUUCUGCAUCAGCUCCUGCUUCCUGAUCUGCUUGAGUUCCAGUCCUGGUUUCCUUUGGUGAUAAACAGCAGUAUGGAAGUGUAAGCUGAAUAAACCCUUUCCUCCCCAACUGCUUCUGGGUCAUGAUGUUUGUGCAGGAAUAGAAACCCUGACUAAGACAGAAACAGACCAUGCAUCUACCUGCUGAGCAAUGGAUGGUGAAAAAUCAUACAUUUCCACCAUGGAAUGUUGUUACUCAGGUGUUAAAAAUGGAAUUUUGGCAGUGCAAGUAAAUGUAUGCAGCUGAAAUUAUCAUCCAGAAUGAGGUGCCUGGACCCAUAAGGACAAACGCUGCAGGAACUCCGUUUGCAUGACCACCCAUGAUCACAUGGAUGCAAGGUUUGGAUCUGAGGAUUUAAGUGUAUCAGUUGCAUUCAGCCAUAGAAGCCAGGAAGUCAACAACAGCCAUGGAGGCAGUGAGGAUCAGAUGCCGGUGGCAUAAAGGGCGCAGCAAGAACUGUUAAGUAGGUUGGGAAUGGGGGUCACAGAGGAGGGGGGAAGAAUGGGGAGGGAUUAUCACAUUUAAAACCUUUGGAAAUGCCAUGUGGAGAGCUAUUGUCGUAGAUUCCUAAAAGACACACAUAUUUUAUAUUAUAUACUAUAUCAUAUAUACACAUAUAAAAAAGAAGUCUAGGUAGACAUCGUUUAUAAUGCUUCUCCCAGACACUAAAUCUAUCAAAUGUAAACCCCAAUGCCAGGAAAAGGGUAAUCUCUUUUGAAAUCAUUGAUAGGUACUAUCUUGCAACCUUCUGAAUAAUAUGGGUUACUGCUAUAUCUCUUAUUUACCCUCUAGAGUGUGAUAUAAAACUCUAUUGCUGAAGACAACACAUACUUGAGUAGUAGAACAUGGAGAAAUUAAGGUGGUACUAACAUGGAAAUGUUAUCCCUAGUGGCUAGCUUUUAUAGAGUUGGAAGGUGCUGUGCACACUCCUGGGAACAUACAUCAGACUCAUCUAGAUGUAAACCUCCUGAGCAAAAACGUGACCUGCCUAUCAAGGUAGGCCUAUUGGGACAAUAGUGGCACAGACAUUGUGAAAGUAAUCUAUCACUUUCUGAUGAACAGUAGGUCCCAUUCCACAAGGUAGAACAUAUUCAUUGUACUGUUGUCAGAGUCAGGAACCUGUGGCUAGGUAGGCCAUAGACCCUGGGGGAAAAAUGUAUUACAUCUAUUCUACUAAAUGGCCAUAGUAUUAAACCAACUCCCAAUGAUUUAUUGUUAUACCUAUAGAUUAAUUUAUCUCUCAACCCUCCCCCCCAAAAAAAAUCUCAUAGUAUGAAAAGAAUUUCAUAGUAGAUGACAAUUAGGACAGAAAUCCACUACUUUUCAAUAUACAGAGGAUGAAAGACUAUAAAGCACUCGACCCUAAAUUUGAUAUCUACCUCACAUAACUUCUUUCCAAGGCUCCUGGAUCAUCACAGAACAGGAAGAGGCUGAGGUGGUGGAGCAAUAUAGAGAAUAGUAUUGUCCACAUACAAUGGAGCAGGUGUAUGUAAGAACUCACUGUGGCUGUGACAACAUGAACAAGGCCUGUGCAAGGUCAAGGAACACAGAACCCCAGUGUGGAAGGGGAAGGUAUACACAAAGGAAGAGUAUAGGUGUUUUGUUUUGUUUUUUAAGUGCAAACAUCUUGUUUUCCUAAGAGAAGAUGUAACAAUAAAUCUCCUAGAUGACCCAGUCAUAAUAGCCUAGAAAAGUGGAACUUUUGAUGUCCCCAUUUUCCAGUUUAUUAUGUUACAACUAUUAACCCAUUUCUUUACAUUUUUGGUAUUAUCUGUAGUGCCUGUUUGACAUAAAAUCAAAUGAUUUCAAAAUUAUACAGGCUAAUUUAUCUGUGGCCUGUACAGUUUACAUAAAUAGCAGUUCUCCAUUAGAAUAUAUUUGAGCAAGGUUUUACAUUUCAAUUUGAAUUGGAAAUGAAAUUCUCUUUGUUUUGGGUUAAUAGGUGAUUUAUAGAGAAAGCCAGAUUUAUCCUUUCAGAUUUAUCUAAGAAUAGCAUCCUAAUCAGAUUUUCCAGUUCGCCAAGUUUAGUCCUUGAUCCUCAGGAAAUUCUGUCUUGUUAUUUGUCUUCUCAGUCUUUUUAACCUGUGUGGCUUGAUGUUGACAUCGCUCUGUGGGAGAAUGUCCUUCCACCUGCACUACUGUGUGCUGUUCUUAUUCUGGAUGCAUAUUCUGUAAGCCACAUGAGAUUGCUGCAUGGGCUGCUACAUAGAAUUUUGGUCUAAUGUCUUUGGUUUUUCUUCACCCAGAUCAGACUGUCCACAGGAUCACAGCUGCCUAGACAGGAGCACAAGGGUUUCACUCAGACCUCACUUAAAGCCAAUGGUAAAAUAGAUGAAUUAAGUAUGCAUAAAUUCAAUAUUAUCAUCUCUUUAAAUGUCAAAACGAUCCUACAAGAUAGGUAGGGUUCUUAUUUCUUACAGAAGAGGAAAUAUACUUCAUCUUACUUCAGAGGGUUACCUUCCAAGGGGGUAAAGUAUCAUGUUAAGCUUAGAACUUUGGGAUACAGUGAUUCCAAAAUGAGGUGGGCACGUGUAGUUUGUACAUAAAAUGAUUUAAAUUAUCUUAUGACUUAUGCUGAUUAAUAAACCUCAACAAUUAAAUAUUAUCAGAACUACGAAGAUGUAGAUCAUGGAUCUGAGGUAUUUUUAAUAAAUAUAAGACAUGCAUAAUACUUUAUUUUUAUUAUUUUUUUCUUCUAAAAUUUAUAGCUGAAUACAUUAAUCUCUUAUAAACCAUGCUUAUUAUGAGCGAAAUCCCUGUCUUUUUUGUUUGGUCUUGUUUUUACAGACAGAAUAUCACUCUGUAGCCCAGGCUAUUCUGGAACUCAUUACAAAUUCAUGUGCCACAGUUAUCCUACUGCAGAGGUUUCAUCCAUGAGACAUGGUAACCAUGGAAACAUACCGGUGUAAACAUAUGAAUCUUAUCACAUGAUGGUUUUCAAGUUUACUACUAGAAGGCAAACUUUUGUUUGUAUCGAAGUUACAUUUUUAUUUACAGAAUUUAAUGUCUUACCCAGGAAGUAAUAUGCUACAAAAUAUUUACAUAUAUAUCUCAUGGUAUCCCUGCAGGAAGUGGUAAUGUCCCUUUUCUGCUUCUGAAAAACAGAACACCAUGAAACACGUAUGUGAAAUGAAGUCAUUCCCUACUUUAUCACAUAUGAAGAAUUUUAUGAAAGUUGAGACAUGAACUAAGAAAAUGUGGAUAACAAAGAAAAGCAUAGUUUCACUUUCUAAAUUCAAUAAUGUAUUUUUAUGUGAGAAAUCCUGUAGUAUAGAGAAUAUUUUCUGACUAUUCUGAGCAAAUAGAAGAUGAAACUGUAAUAAAAUAUUUCAGCCCUGGCUCAGUGUUCUAGCACACAGUGUUGCUUGAGUCUUAAUAGCUCUUUCUUCAUAACAUUAAUCUCCUAAGAUUAUUUUAUAUAUUUAGUGUGCUCUGAAAUAUUACAAAGUGAAUCCCAUCUCUUCACAGAAAACCCAGGCUACUGAGAGUGACUCCUUCAGAGUUCUCAUCUCAGAGGAAAGCAAACACAAAGAUAGAUUUAUUAAUGCCUUUUCCCCUCCAUCCUUUUCUACAGCAUCAAUGGCACUUAUGAGGGAAGAAAUGGCCCAUAGAUGAUAUUUGACACUGAAACACUUUAUCUAUACAUACUUGAAAUAUAUAGAAAACCAAUAAGGUUAUCUUCAAGUGGACAAGUACCACAUGCCACAUCAAUAUUGUCCUCAUAUCUUCACGACUGACCUUUGAGUCACUACUCAAACUUGUUUAAGAAGACCAUGCCUAUGUAGAUGUUAUGUUGUCUUAAAUUCUCAUGCCCUGCUAACUGCAAUUAUUUUUUUGCUCACUCUGGUUAAUUUGUCUUUUAAACUUGCACUCAACUUUCUCAACAUGUAAUAUUAAUCAUGUUAUUGUUUUUUCCAUGGGCUGCGAUGGAGUUUUACUAUGAAUAAAAUGAUUCAUGGGUCUGGAAUUCACUUUAUUUAUGCCUCUGAGCAUUCUUGCUGCCAUAUUCAUCGUCAAUGUCAUUUACAUCCAUACUUUCCAGAGGAGAGACAAAGGAGGCCCUGGAAAACAGAUGAAAAUAAGUAGCAUGAUAUGGACGAACAGGGCUGAUGUCUGGAGUUCUGUUCCUUCUGGCUGAAGGUUCAUGUAAAAAUGGACACAGAUAAUUAAACCAAAUUAUCAUUAUAUAUAAAUCACAAAUGCACUUGCUUUCUAUAUAAAAUAUAUUUAGUGUUUAAUGAUGAAUUAAGAGUGUAUAUUUAAAUUAAUGACAUUUUAAAAUCUCAUAAGAAAAUGAAUGCAUGCACAAAUUUACAUAGCUUCAAAUAGUAUAUAUUUAAAGUGCUAAUAUUAGCGUAGUGUAAAAUGUUUUUAAUGUAGAUUUCAUAGAUGGAGUCCUUCAGAAUAUGCAGAUACCUAUUUUUAGAAUUUUUAUUUGGGCUUAAUAACUUGUAGUUAAUAUAAACAUAAUCAGUUUGUGUGCUCAUUAUGUUUUGUUAAUUGUUGAAUUAUUAUUAGUUGUUAUUAUUUUUUUUUCUGUUUUUGGUUUUUUGAGACAGAGUUUCUCUGUAUAGCUCUGGCUGUCCUGGAACUCACUUUGUAGACCAGACUGGCCUCAAACUUAGAAAUUCGCCUGCCUCUGCCUUCCGAGUGUUGGGAUUAAAGGCCUGUGCCACCACGCCUGGCUAUUAGUUGUUAUCGUUAUUAAAAUUUUUGUAUAGCAAUGAUCUCCUUCUUCAUAUAGCCACUUUGAAAUAAUGAAAAUAAGGUAUAACUUGCUCUAAAUUUAUUUCUUAAUUUGUACUUUUACAUGUUACCAACUAACUUCAACUUAAUUGUCAAAUCACCCUUUAUUUGUGACUUGUCAUUUUGUCCCUUAGCUCAAUAUUUACAUCCCCAAUAUAUAAUCAGAAAGUUCAGCUCCAAUGUCCCUAUGCCUCUGUGUACUGCACAUCUUUUACAUUUAGGCUCAGGCUGAAUUACACUGAAGCAUCCUUGGCCCUCUAGUUCCCAUAUACGAUAUCCUGGGCCCAGUAAGCUUCAAAAUCAAGGCAGACUUCUCUUUCUAUAAAUCUCUCCUUCUGAAUAUAUAUAUCGAUGUCAUAAAAGGUAAACUGAGUUACUCCACUUUCAGAUAUUGUAACAGUGGGGAUUGGGCUUCUGGCUUGUUAAUCAUACACAGAUGCUGAAGGAAGAAACUGUUAAAGCCAGGCAGUGUGUACUCACCAGCCAUUCCAGUGCUGAGGAGGCUAAGGCAAGACAAGUUCCAGGUCUAGAGAUGCUGGUGGUAAUGCGUGGGGAAGUUCUAUGAUAAGGAACAUCUAACAAUGUCAGGGUUAGUGUAUUAAAGACUGAUCACUGAAUAGAUUCAAGGUCAUGGAAGAGGGGCCAGCCCUAUAUAUCAGGGGUAGAAUUCCUGCCUUACAUGCAGAAGAUCCUGGGUUUGAUACUUAGCAUCACACAUGUAAAUUAUACUGUACAAACAUAGGUUAUAUCAUGGAAAGAUGCCAGUCCAGGUAAACAGCAUAGUUAAAUGCCAGGACUCGUUGGCUCUGGUGCACAGUAUCUAUUUCUGUGUGUACUUGCUGUGGGCAAGGACACCACGUUUCUUUAAUACUCGGAUCAGCCAUUCAUGAAGAUAGAGUCAUAAAUGUUGAGGUUGUUUGCUUUCUUCUCAUAGAUUUCUGUGGAUUUGGAAAUGCAUUUGUGCCAAGACAGAGAUAAAGUCAUUUAUUAAUAAUGUGUGUUUGUUAUUUUAAAAAGUGUUUUCCAUGCACACACACACACAAAAUAGCCUAAACUUCCUCCCCCACAGAAUUAAUACACCCAUCUGGGCUCAUGUCAGAUCUAAUUAGACCUCGAGUAUAACAUUUACCAUAUCACAUCCUAUUAGAGUUUGUUAUGUAUCUCUUUGUCUUCUCCACCAACCUCAAGCCCCAGAGAGUAUAAGCGUCUCCUUUGUCUCUGUAUCCCCAGCAACUGGCAUCAUCUUUGACAAAUAGCAGGCAUUCAGCAAGACAGAAUCCAUAUUGUUUUGAAAAGCAAUCAAGUAAAUGAAUGGAAGUAGUUUUUAAUUAACAAAAAUCACCUGUUACCUAUCACACUGUAAUGUUUAAAUUGCUAAAGAGUCCCACAGGAUUGUGAAUGUAAGAGAAUCCCAGAACACUAAUGAGAAUCUAACUCCAGGUCUACUCUACUGGAAACAUUGCUCAACAUGAACUCGUGCUUUUAGUGUGGAUUUGGGUAAAUCUACAGAGGCACUUUGUAGUUGAAGGUAAAGGAAAGCCCUUUAUUCUCUUGGCUCCUAGAGUUUUACUGUGUGUCAACCUAAUUCAUUUCCUCUGUUCCUGGAAAUCUGAGUGGGUUGUGGCUACAGAGGGCAGGGUUAGAUUCUGCUCUAUGAGUUGGGUCAGAACGCGAAUCAGAAGGCUAAAGGAGCCUGCUGGUCUCAGCUCACGAAGCUAGGUUGUGCAUUUUGCCCCACAGGUUAUUUUUCUAUUACAAAGUAAAUUUCACUUAAAUAUACUCCAGCAAGCGUCCUAAGUGCUCAGAUGUGCACCUUUCACUGCCGUUAACACCACUUCAUAUUUGGCUACUGUUUUCUGCGUUAUCUUGUGAGGGCAUUUCUCAGUCCUCUCAUUUUCAGCAUUCUGUGCCUUUCCAGAUCUAAUGGUCUGACUCAGUUUUCCACAACAAGUUCUAGAAGGGAACCUGGAGACAGUUUUUGCGUUGAUCACAAAUCAGAAGUGGAAACUGUCACCCACUAACAUGUUUAAUUAUGUAACAAUUAUUCUCACUGGAAAAUUAAACAUAGCUGCUUGAUUGUUCUCUACAAUAGCUUUGAAGUAAAAGAGAGAGUCAGUAUCCGGUUCUAUGUAUAAAUUAUAGCUCAUUAACAUGGUCUCGAUUAUUUUAUAUUGCUUUUUCGUUGUCCUUGUAACUCAGGCUAUAAUAAUACUGGAAGGAAGUCAACAUGUAAUUAGUGCAACUAUAUGAAAACAGAUUGCCCUGUUUCACAUGCUGUGGACGCCGAGGGAUUCACAGAGCUGGGGAAAAUGGCAAGCACCAACAGUUUUCCUUUUAAAGCCCAGCAUUCUUCAGUUUUAAAUCAUAUCACCACAUACACACACACACACACACACACACACACACACACACACACACACACACCAAAAACCAAACAAAAAAACCCAAAACUAUGAAGGUUCCACUGAAAAAUGAUCAGGCAUCUAAAAGGGCAAGUGGAUUAGCUUUUAUUGGCUUAUGGCUUUUCUCGCUAAUGAGUCUUUUAUUCUAAGAAAUCUUUUUUUUCUUUCUUUCUUUUUUAAAUUUAAUUUGGUGUGUGCAUGCAGCUAGAGAAAACAUGGAAAUGGUUGAUAGGAAAAUUCCUGGGAGCCAGAGUGUUGGAGGACACUGAGAGAACAUGGUACACAGAAUCAACUUAGCAGGGCUUAUGGGGGCCUCACAGAGACUCGAAUAGCAAUCACAGAACCUGCGUGGGUCUGCAUUAUAUCCUCUGCUUAUAGCUUUCUGCUUUUUUUUUGGGGGGGGUGGGUUUAAUUGGAUUGGAGGUUGUCUCUGACUCUUUUGCCUGCUUUUGGAAGCAUUUGCCUCCUACUGGGUUGCCUUCCCCAGCCGUGAUAUGAGGGUUUGUGUCUAGUCUCAUUAUAUCAUGUUGGGCAAUGUUCAAUGGGUGUUCCUGGGUAGCCUGUAUUUUUCUAGCGGGAUACUUGGGGGUGGGGAGGUGGAUCAUGGGAAAAGGUAGUUUGGGGAAAACUGGGAAGAGAAGACGGAGGAGAAGCUGUAUUUGGGAUGUAUUGUAUGGAAAAAAAAAUUUUUUUAAUUGAGUUUAAGUCUUUACGAAGAACCAAUUAGAAUUUGUGAGCAUAGGCAAGAUGUUCAUUAUAUAGUCAUACAUUUAAUUCAAGGGAUCAUACAGCUCACUGUGUGGCUGCUCUCUGUAGAUUUUACAGUCUGGAAAUUUAGCCAUUUCUUGCAACUUUUCUACAUGAAUAUUUGUUGGAUCAUGCCAUGGGCAUAGUAGGACAGCAAACUCCAUGACAAUGAGCAUCCCACUUCAUUUCCUACACAUUUCUGUGACAAUUAGGUGACUCAACAGCAUUUAUUUAGUCAACAUUUGUGCAUAAAAUGAGGCAACCAUUUAGUGAAAAAUAUUCUGUUGAUUUAAAAAAUUCAAAGAAAUCACUCUACUCUCCUCAUGUUGUAAAAUUAUUUUAAGAAUUGACACAUUACAAUCCCUGUGACUUCAUACUCAUGGUUAGUCAAGCAAGAAACAAAGAAAAAAGAAACCUAACAUUGAUUCAUAACAGAUAUGGAUUUCCUUUCUUUUUCUGAGAGCUUGGUAGGUAACUCUUUUCUUGAGUCACAAGUGUUGUCAAAUGGGAGAUAGCUACAUGAUCAUAUAACUUCCCCUUAGAGGCUUAUAGCUCACUGGAAGAGUCCAUGACUGGCAAGGUAACGCCCUGAGUUUAAUCCCCAGGACUAAGAAAAGAACAUGCCAAGAACUCACAAAUUCCCCUCAAGUGUCUCACUGAUAGCUCAAUUGAAAUGGAACAUUGAAAAACUCAUUCUCUGGAAGCCCUAAGGGAAAAUAACAAAAGAGCCAUAACCUGACAUUAAUGAAGCAAAUGUUGAUUAUGAGAGGGAUUGGCAGAUACAGACUUGGAUACUUAGUGAAACGUAGCUAAGGGCAAGAUGUCAAAUAAAGACAUGCUACUCUAUCAAAAUUAUAUUAGCAAUUAUCAAUUGUUUCCAUGAAAUGCAUAUUAAGAGCAAUUUUUGCUACUGGUUUCAUUCAAAGGAAGGACUUAUAUUGACAAAUCUCUUAUCAAAUAAAUCUUCUAUCUAAUCCUGUAUUGGUAUGCAGAGAGAAUUUUUACUAUUGGUUUGAUCUUACAGUUAAAAGCAUCUUAGGCUGUAUGGAUGAGAUAGUCUAGAAAACUCUUGUGACUUCUCAAACAAAAUGUACUUCUGAAAUUAUUAACUUGAGUGCACCCCUGAAUUUAUUCUUUCUUGACUUUAAGUUGAAAGCUCUAUAAGACACAUCCACACUUACUAGAUCUUGCAGUGCUGUCAAAAUCCUCAUUCACCUUUAGUUCCUAAGUAUUCAGAGCACAUUUGUCAAUGUGUAGUUUGUGUUAUAUUUUUACCUAAGCAGAAGGUGAUGUGGUGCGUAAUCUUCCUUGGAACUGGUUGGAUCAAGAAGUCAGGACAGGACAGAUGCUGCCCCUGAGUAGAUAAGAGUAGUUUCAUCUAAAUGGGUGAUCAUUAUGGAUGUGUUAUAAGACUCAAAUUUUUAGCUUACAAUAAUCUAUUUUUUUUCAGGAAGUGAUAACUUGAUAGCUAUUGAGUUAGGUCAAUGAUUAGAAACAAUCUUGCAAAGUUCAAUAUGUACCAUAUAUUACAAUGAAUUCCAAAAGCAAAGUGAUGGAUGCCUGGAGUUAGUUAAUUAAAAUUCGGUAUUGAAUAUUUCCACUUGGUGACUGUCAAAGAGAAUGAAUGAAGCUACUGUAAAGAGUUUCCUGGUAAGAGAAAUUUAAUAACAAAAAUAGAAUCUCAUAUACUAAUAAUUGGUUCCUAUUUUUAACACUAGCAUGAUGAAAUUGAUUUGAAGGUCAAUUUGCAUGUAUUUGUAUUAGCUUACCACUUUAUGGGAAAGAGCAACAAAACACUGGGUCUCAGUAGUGUAGUUCUCUGUGUUUUCUUCAUCUGCAUAUGGCCCAGGAAUAUCACCCAGAUUUUCAGUACUUUUAGCUGCAUAGAGAGUAAGCAAUGGUCUAGAAUAUUCUACUGAAAUGGAAAUUUGAUGCUGGCUAAGUUUGUUGAUUAGUUAUUUCCAAUUACAUGUAAGGAUGUUUUUGUGUGUAUGCCGCUUUUAUACAGCACACAGGAACUGAAAAACAGUCAUUAAAAUUUUAAUUUCAUUCCCAAUUUUUAAAAUGUCUCCCGGUAGGACAAUGUUUUAUUGUCUCAAUUUGCCAGAAAUCCUUCUCUUGUAGUUACAGUCCUGCCAUUUCCUCUCUCAUGCUGAUCUCUCCUGAAUACAGAAUUAUCUUCAUCUUGUUCACAAAUGUGCAUAUUCGGGAUUUUAGCAUGUGUUAAGAUAAAACUAAGGCUCAUACCUUAAACAUAUCAUUAUUAAAAAUCCCCUGUGGCUUAGCUUACUGCCUGGGGACCUUUGUUCUUCACAGGCUGAGUUGUUCCUUCCAGUAUUCAACUAAAGUGUUUGAUGGGCAGAUGAGGAGGGGCUGAGUCAGGCAGGGACACGGGGAAAGCACUAAUUUACCCAGCGCUAAUGUCUGAAAUGCAACUGCUGUCAGAAUCCUUUAAAUUAAAUCACAACCACACAACAGCAAGAGGAACAGCAACUCAUGUUGGGUUUUAGGACAGAGGGUGUAGCACCUUGUAAUUUAAUGCUACAUAUGAGAUGUGAUAUCACACAGUGUCAAUGGAAACUGUCAAUCACCCUUUGUUCUAUUUCUGUUUCCCUGAUUUCACAGUCAGCUUUGGUGGGGAGUUAGAUUUGGGAAUCAUGGUACAGAGUAAGAAGAAAGUAUAUGGAAGGAGCUGAGAUCUAAUGAAACAUACAUUUCACCCUUUUAGAACCCUUCCAUCUUAGCACUACAGGUUAACUCCUGGUUUUAUUGUCGGCUAUUCUUUUAACUAAGAAAAUAAAUUAUAUAGUAAUCGAAAGAAAACUGGAUUAUUGUAUCUUAGAAGAAUAAUUUUACUAAAUUAUAUUUAGCUUCAUGCAUUGUGAUAAAAGUCUUAAUCUAUCUCCUAACUAUUCUUCUUUCUUCUCCAUGGGCUGUCUAUGACUGGGCAGGUUUGUGAAAUCAGACAUAGUUGUUCUAGAUCACAUCUGCCAUGCCAUGCCCCAAAACUCAGAGAGUUCAUAGAGCCCCUUCCCAGUCCCAGCUCUCAGAAGAGUCUCACCUCCUUUUCUAGGAGGUUUCCUGGAUCAUUUCGUCCAUCAGGUAUGAGGUGAAUGUCUGGUUUGUGCCUGAAAAACUCAACAGUCAUCCAUUCUCAGCAUUCUAAGUCUGACUCUCUGUACUUUCACGUGCUUCUGAAAGAUCAUUGUUCAUCCAAGGGGGACAGCAGCUUUAGUCUAAGGACAUAAAAGUAGGUAUUGAGAAGUCAUUUUGUCCACCAUUCUAUUUAACUUAAUAUCAGCAGUGUGCUUUACCCUGUUCCCAGGUAUAUAAUUCUUCCUGUGGAUCAGCCUUCACAUCCAUUCAGAAACUAGUCAGUUACUUCCAAUGCAAUGCUAUUGUGCUACUGCUGCCCCCAUGAGAACAUCUUGCCUCAUAAUCAAUAUUGUAGGAUUUUUGAUCUGUAGCUAGGUGAGAUUAUUGAUAUUGCUUCUUCUACCUCUUUCACUGCCCCAUGGCCUAUACAUCACCUUCAGCACUUUGAGAAGUAUCUGUGAUCCCCAGUUUUGUGUCAACGUGACACAAGUUACAGUCAUCUGAGAGGAGGGAAGCUCAAUUAAGAAAAUGUUGGACUGAGCACAGGAUCCCCAAUGGAGGAGCUAGAGAAAGGAACUGAAGGGGUUUGCAGCCCCAUAGGAGGAACAAAAAUAUGAACUAACCAGUACCUCCCAGAGCUCCCAGGGACUAAACCACCAAACAAAGAAAACACAUGGUGGGACUCAUGGCUCCAGCUGUAUAUGUAACAGAGGAUAGCCUAGUGGCUCAUCAGUGGGAGGAGAGGCCCUUGGUCCUAUGAAUGCUCUAAGCCCCAGUAUAAGGGAAUUCCAGGGCCAGGAAGUGGGAACAGAUGGGUUGGUGAGCAGGGGAAGGGGGGAGGGGAUAUGAUAUUUUCAGAGGGGAAACCAGAAAAGAGGAUACCAUUUGAAAUGUAAAUAAAAGAAAAUAUAAAAAAAUACAAGAAAAUGUCUUCAUUUAGAUUAGGUUGUAGGCAAGCCUGUUGGACAUUUCCUUAACUAGUGUUUGAUUAGGGAGGUUCCAAGUUGUUGUGGGUGUUGGCAUCCCUGGGCUGGUGGUCCUGUGUUCUAUCAGAAGCUAACUAAACAAGUCAUAUAGAGCAAGCCAGUCAGCAUCAUAUUUCCUUGACCUCUGCAUUAGCUCCUGACUCCUAGUUUCUGCCAUGCUUGAGUUCUGGUCCUGACUUUCUGCAAUAAUGAACAGUGAUGUGGAAGUAUAAGCCAAAAAGCGCUCUCCUUCCCAAGUGGCUGUGGUCAUGUUGUUUCAUCUCAGCAAUAGUAAUACUCACUAAGAUACUAGGUAUUGUGGAGGAAGCUUCCAGCCUUAUUGCAUCUUGUUGCAUCUGUGUGCUGCAGCAAUAGCAAUGUACUGUCUAGUUCUAGUGAGUGACUCAGAGCAUUGGCAAUGCCUGUGUUUUGGGGGGAGCCCCCACUAUCUCCCUCAGUACCUCAUAGGAAGAAAUAUCGCACCCAGAGCUGUGUUUUUAUUACAGAACUGUGGACUGAAUUUUGAAAGCAUCAGCUAUGGUAUCUUACUGUCCAUGAUAGCUAAAUAAGAGUUUUGUUGUUCUUGUUAAAAAUUUCAUAAUGAGAUAAUUAUUAGAAUAAGGUGAUACCACUAACAACAACUAAAUAGCAUUUUUAUUGUUUCAUUGGUUAAUAUUUUAUGCAAAAUUUCUCAAAGAUAUACUAUCCUCCUUGAUCCUUUAUCAUUGAGUAGGUACAUAUUUAUAUGAUGUAUGUAGAUUUACACACACACAUGUGGCCAUGAGUGAGCCAGCUCAAAACAGUUUUUUCUUCUACCAAAGACAUGAGCUACUGACAAAUGCAGAUGUGAUAAUGACUAUGCCAUUAUUGUAUGCAAAUAAUUCUAUAAAUUCAACUUAUAAAUCUAGUUUUCUUAUGUGGAUCUACCAACUCUAUAUUCUCACUCUUAAAAUACCAUUUCUUCUUUGUAUUGUUUUCUUUAUUUUGUGUAGGAAUCAUUAAUGAUUUAUUAGACUAGUAUCAUAAUUAGUUAGACUUCACUUGGCCUUUAUACCCUCUGUAUCUAAAUGCACCCUAUGACUAUAUGAAUCCCUAGAGUUGUUAUAUAGGGUUGAAUCCCAAGGAAUUAGAAUAUAUUAUAGAGAACUUCAGAAUUACUAUUUGACCUAGGAUGCAUAAGAAUAUCAUAAAAUAUAAAAUAUUUUACAACCUAUACACAUAUUUUCUAAAAUAUUUAAACAUGCAUACAUAUUUUCUAUUAUCAAAAGAUAUGUAAUCUGAAAAAUAUAUACCUAUAAUUGUGAUAUAUAUUGAGCUAUAUAUAAAGAAAUCAAAUACUAAUUUUCUCUUUAAAAUACAUUUUUAAUUUUUUAUAAAUCUCAUCUUGUCUAUUAAUCCCAGUCGUUGGCUCUUUAAGGAGAGACAGUGUUCAUGUUACCAUGGAUACCUAUAAUGAUCUUACUGAUAGCUUUGUGGCAUCAGCCACAAAUUCCAUAGAGUAUCAUUGUCCAUUUAUUUUCCAUUUUGCGUCACAAGAUACUGAGGGCUAUUAUAAAUGGUGCAUCUGAUUCACACGAACCUUCUCCACUCAGCCACUCAGCCCACAUCCUUUUGUAGGGUCUAGCCUGCUGAGUUUGCCUAACAUUUCAAACCAUACACUUUCUGGAACCAUCCAGAUUUAUCUUGAGUUUCACAGCCAGUGUUGAUCCUGGUCACCCUGGCCUGCACUGGAGCCAACCACUAGGAAUCCUUCAGGACCUGCCUUACUUGCUCCCAACACAAAGGUCCUUCCCAGGCCACACCUAAUCUCCCCAUCCAGGCAGAUCUUUGCCUAUAGUCCAAGCUUUGAGAAAACAUACAUCCUCCAUACCAGCCCAUCCCUCUCUGUCCAAGUAACUUCCUUCCAUGCGACCAUUUCAAACCUUUAGGCCCAAUCCACCUGCACAUUCCCUCUUCUUUGCCAACCUAGUGUCCAUAUCAGAAUUAUAAAUGAUACAAGAAACCCACACACUCAGAACUCGUCCUAAAGAUAUGAAGAAUGGAAAGAUCAAGCCAGUAUCUCCUCUCCAAAGCUUCUCAGUGGACCUAGCAAUACCACUCCUGGGAACAUACUCAGAAGAUGCUGCAACAUGUAAUGAGGACACAUGUUCAUAGCAGCCAGAAGCUGGAAAGAACCCAAAUGUCCCUCAACAGAGGAAUGCAUAAAGAAAAUGUGGUACAUUUACACAAUGGAGUACUACUCAGCAAUUAACAAUGAAUUUAUGAAAUUCUUAGGCAAAUGGAUGUAUCUGGAGGAUAUGACCCUGAGUGAGGUAACCCAAUCACAAAAGAACACACAUGAUAUGCACUCACUGAUAAGUGGAUAUUAGCCCAGAAGCUCGGAAAACCCAAGAUACAAUUCACAAACCACACGAAAUUCAAGAAGAAGGAAAACCAGUGUUGAUACUUUGAUUCUUCUUAGAAAGGGGGAAAUAAUAUCCAUGGAAGGAGUUACAGAGACAAAGUUUGGAGCAGAGACUGAAGAAAUGACCAUCCAGAGACUGCCCCACCUGUAGAUCCAUCCCAUAUACAAUCACCAAACCCAGACACUAUUGUGGAUGCCAGCAAAUGCUUGCUGACAGGAGCCUGAUAUAGCUGUCUCCUGAGAGGCUCUGCCAGUUCCUGACAAGUACAGAAGUGGAUGCUCACAGCCAUCCAUUGGACUGAGCAAAGCGUCCCCAAUGAAGGAGCUAGAGAAAGGACCUAAGGAGCUGAAGGGAUUUGCAGCCCCAUAGGAGGAACAAAAAUAUGAACUAACCAGUACCUCAAGGACUAAACCACCAACCAAAGAGUACACAUGGUGGGACUCAUGGCCCCAGCUCCAUAUGUAGCAGAGGAUGACCUUGUUGGUCAUCAAUGGGAGAAGAGGCCCUUGGUCCUGUGAAGGCUCUAAGCCCCAAUAUAGGGGAAUACCAGGGCUAGGAAGAGAGAGUGGGUGGGUUGGUGAGCAGGGAAAGGGGGCAGGGAUAUGGGGUUUUUGGAAGAGAAGCUAGGAAAGGGGAUAAUAUUUGAAAUAUAAAUAAAGUGAAUAUCUAAGAAAAAGAAAAAAAGAAAAAAAGAGAGAGAAUUAACUAAAGGAGCCCCAUGACACAGAAUUUUGAAAAGAUAGUCACAGGUUCCUCAAAGAACUCAAGGAGUUUAAAGAAAACAGAGAGAGCUGACUGAACUCAAGAGGACAAAGCUCAGGGAAAUAAAUGCCUGAGUGAUGCCCAAGGGAAUACAAAAGUAAGUCUGAGGAACAUGACAAAGACAAACCAGGAUGCAGAAUACUCAAGAAGAAAUAAAGAUGGAAUUUAAAAAUCUAUUUAACUCAACUAGAAAACUCAGAGUCAAGCCUUACAUGUAGAAUGAAUCAAGAAGAAGACAACAUCCAGUCCCAAAUGUAGAAGAUCUAGCCCAAUAAUGGAGAACAUAUAUAUAUAUAUAUAUAUAUAUAUAUAUAUAUAUAUAUAUAUAUAUAUAAAACAUAGGUAAGGAACAUACAGUAAAUAUGGGACACCAUGGAAAGACCAAUCUUUUAUAGGUAUAGAUGAGGGAGAAGAUUCCCAGGUUAGAGAUAUAGACUAGCUCUUUAACAAGAUCGUAGAAGAAAAUGUUCCCAAACUAACGGAGACACCCAAGCAGACACAUAAGGCACACAAAACAUGUAAUCGACAACACCAGAAGAGAAAAUCUCCACAGCAUAUCAUAGUUUAAAAACCUAGUAUACAGAUCAGAGGAAGUGUGCUGAAAACCACGAGAGCAAAACACUAAUUCUUCACAGGCAGUGAGAAGUCAAAGUGCUGUAAAACAAAGCACUUCUGACCACAUGGAAGCCAUCCCAUCAUGCAAGGUGGAGUCUCUAAAUGUUUGUGAAGAUCUCAAUGAGAUGAGACCUGUAUGUAGGUCAGAAGGACCUGGAGAAAGUUCACACUGCUCGCCUCUGGCAGCGCCUCAUCUGAUGUAACAGCAGCAAUAGGUGGAAUGUCUGAAGCUUAAUUAGUAUUUUAGUUUCCUACAAGAAAUAUUAUUCUCCUUACUGAAUCACUGCUAGGAAAUGUCUCUUGGAGACAUAUGCGUAUGCCCUCCUAGACUGUAAUUUACAUUUUUUAAAAUUUGUAAUUUGCAAUUAUCACUAUCAUUACCUUUUAUUUGGGGAGGUAUACUGAAUCAGUUCUCUUAAAGUUUUGAGAAGGAAAAAAAUCCAUAUUUUGUUAUGCUUUUCUUAAGCAUAUGAUACUGAGAUGUGUUUCAGUCUGCUCUUUCACUGUCUGUCUGCUCUUUCACAGCAGAUGAAUUAUUCUUUGUUUCCUGAGUACAUCUUUGCCACCACUGGUGGGAGUCUCUUAUGCGACUUCUACAAUCUUGGUUUAGAAAAUUAAAGAAACUCUGUGCUGUGCGGCUGCAGCCAUUCAGGGCUAAUACAUCUUGUUGCGCGUGACUGAGGACAAGUGCCCUCCAGAUUAAAUUUUUCUGCUCAGCACCCAGCAUUUUCAUAAAAUAUAGUCCUCACACAGCUCCACAAAUAUCCCAAGCAUGUGGUUUAAUUUAAACCAACAUGCUUGAGUCACCCAUUUAAAUAAAAUAUCUGUAGUGCUCCAAAACCAUUUUAUAAAUGCACCUUCUCAAAAUAAAACAAGCAAACUCUAUCAUUUCAAGUGUCAUAAAGUCAUAUCUGCACUGACUGAUAAGCAGAGCAAUCUUCACGGAGGAUUUCCCAAGAAACCACAGGGCUGGAUUGUGGUUCCUGACAAUUGGCAGAGAAGGAGAGCCUCUGGCCUGUGUCACCAGUUAGUGUGGGGUUGCCUGGGGUCUCCUGAUGCCCCGUCUCCCAUGCCAAGGCCGUCUGAGAUGCAAGAUAUGAAAAAGGCAAAAAGUUCCUUUCUCUAGUGUUAUUUUGUUUAAAGGUGGCCUUCUCAUCUCUUUGUGAAAGAAAAUUCUUUAUAAAAUGAUCAUCUGAAUGUGAGUCAGAAUGUAAUCAGAAGAAAAGAGGAUGCUAGAAUGUAUAAAGUCAACCCCCUUUAGAGAGGUUACCUGUAUAUAUUUUUGUGUACAUGUACAUGUAUAUGUAUAUGUAUAUGUAUAUGUAUAUGUAUAUGUAUAUGUAUAUGUAUAUGUAUAUGUAUAUGUAUAUGUAUAUGUAUGUUUGUAAGCAUCAUAGUUCUUUCUUACUGGAAGAGGCAAUAGAGCCAGGAAGAGAGGUCCUGCUCCCUGUGAUGACCCAAACCUACCAUGGAGAACACUUGCACUCCCAGCUCCCUUCCUUUUUUCUUCCCCUCCCCACCCUUCCUCUCUCUUCCUUUUCCUUUCUUCUCUGCUUUUCUAGUUCUGGUCUCAACAGAAUAGAUUAAAAAAACAGAAAUUUUAUUUUAAGACCUCAUUAUUGAACUUUUGGCCACAGAGAAAAAUUUUGUGAGGUAAAAAGGGACAUAUGGCUUGAAACAAGGCUCAGGUGGGCAAAGACUCUGGGCUCUCAAACCUGAAGCAUGAUCCAUACAAUCCAUGGGGUGGAAGGAGAAGGCCAGCCCCUGAGCCUUGUCCUCUGACAUCUACUCAUCCUGUAAUAUGCAUAUUUGCAUUUGCAUGCAAACACACAUGCACACGCACACACACACACACACACACACACACACACACACACUCACACACACUAAAUAAAGUGAAAUAAAAACUCAUGAAAAUUGAAAAACAACGUACAUAAAAUUUAAAGCAAAUGAACCUUCAUUUUUAUGGUAUAUGUGCUUGUUACUAAAACUGUCUGAAGUGGAUCCAGGAAUGCUGUCAUUACAAGUUGUUAGAAGCAUGUUGCUCAUCAGGUACGGGGCAGCCUGAGUGUGUGUUGAUUUGAAAAGACCACUUCAAACAUUCUACAGACAGGAUGGUUUACAGAGUUAUUACAUCAAACUUUUACUCUACAAAUCAUUUAUUAAAAUGAUGAAAAAGUUAUAAAAUUUGUUGAUCCAGUUUAGACAUGGGAAUAUAAAAGCCAAGAAGCAGAUUAAUAUAAUGAAAUAAACAAAGUAUAAAAUCAUUUAUUCAGAUAUGGUUAAAUCUGAAAUGGAAGUCACAUUUCUUAUUCAUGUAUUAGUUGCUUGACAAUUUUGCCAGUUUUCUUUAUAUGUAAAACUUGACAAAGAGCUAAUGAAAUGGUUUCUUAAUACUAGUGAAUUGGAAAGUGUGGAAAAUGUGAACAUGUAAUAUACAUUUCAACUGUGAACCCUGAAGUCCCAGGUGACUGAAUGAUGCUCCUUUCUGUCCCUGAGUGCUAUGCAAGUCAGGAAAUGAGCUGGAGAACAGACCCCCUCCUCUGUGAGCUACAUGUCAUCUGUUUAUGGGCCUCUGAGACAUUUCCUUGCUGAAUGGAAUAUGCAUCAAAGGGAGGAAUGCCACUUAGGUAGUGUAAAGCCUGCUGUUUUUGUAAGUGAUCUCCUAUAGAGUCACCAACGCAGCCAGUGACUGAGUAGUUCUUACACGGCCUUGGUCAUGGAGGUAUGUAGUCAUACCUGCAGAAAGAAUGUGACUCUUCCAAGCUUUCAGUGGUUCACAACCAUGGGAGGGAGAGAAAACAUCCCGGUGAUGAAUUCAAGGUCAAAGAAAUUUAUAUAUUUAAAGAGAAUUUACAAUAAUAAAUUUCCAUAAUGCGAUGAAAGUACAGCUUCUCAUUUGAAGAGAAACUCCUGGGGUUUUACAAGAAUUAAGCUGGAUGCUGGAAACCUAUGGAAAAUGAAUGCAGCAAUGUGUUGUGUCAGCAAAGUAUCAUGUUUCCUUGUUAGGAAGUAGUCAAAGAUGUUCAUAACUUCUUUGAACAGUUAGAAGUCAGGGAAAUACAGGAAAGCGUAACUUAGUUUAAAUAUAUAAGUGAUUGGAUAUUUUAAGCAGCAUUCAUAAAUUUCCUGAGGCCAAAUCUUUUGUUUAAUUCAUCAGAUCAAAUAAAUUUAGAAUUAAUAUUCAGCAAAGGAAUGUUGGAUACUGAACUUGUUUAAACUGGGCAAAGGAAUCAGAGCCUAAUGAAUAUGUACUAAUGAAUAUGAAUCCAUGUGUUUAAGAGCAGAUGCCAGUGCAAGCAAAUGUGGACGAGUUUCAUGUUUGCUUGUGUCUGCUUAUUCAGAGAUCCUUCAAAUCAUUCAGAACUGAAGUACCCAUCAUAACUGACAGUUGAUCUUUGCAGAAGUAAGAUUACAACAUCUCCUAAAACAUUGUUCAGAAUGGUAAAGGCAGAAAGAUAAAGUCUUAGUUCUGGUACUGACUAUGAGCCAUUUCUUGAGACUUCUGUGUUUUGUGUGCAAAUAAAACACGGUUUACAAAUAGAAGAGUUGUAGUAAUUAUAAAAGCCACUUUAUUAGGGAGAGGCUAUAAGUCUUAUCUUGGAUAUUCAACAGAAAUCAAUUCUAUCGAUUGAGAAAUAUGAAAGAAAAUCAUUUUUUAAGCAAGAAGGACUAAAAGCAAAAAAAAAAAUGUGAUUUAUUUUACACCAGUUAAUGAACAAAAAUUAAACAAUGUCUAUCCUAUAAAGGGAGAGUAACUGCAGGUUACAGUGGUACAGAGACUGAGAAGCAGAGACAUGGAUGGUGACAACAAAAUGGAAAUACUGGAGAUGUACACAGUGCACACACACAUGUACACACACACCACAUACAUGCACACACAUGCACAUGCAUACACACACAGACAGACAUACAAAUACACAUACACAAGAGAGAGACAGAGACAGACAACACAAGAGAGAGACAGAGACAGAGAGAGAGAGAGAGAGAGAGAGAGAGAGAGAGAGAGAGAGAGAGAGAAAGAGAGAGAGAGAGAGAACCAGCCUUCCCACUUCUACAGAUUUCAAGUUUUUAACAUUUUAAAAUAGUCUGGCUUUGAGCCUUGUCUGACUAUUUUGAGGAGCAGUACAGUAGGGAACUGUGGAGGUAAGUUCUCCCUACACCCCUGUGCUCACAGUCAAGACAUUUAAUUCCACAACAUUUAAUACUCCAGGGGCUUCAUGAGCCCACACAAAUCUAAUGCCUAGAACAUUUUAAAUAUGUGUGGUGCACUAAUCUCUGCCUUAUGCAUUUAUUAAAUUGGCCACAAUGGAGCAAUCCAAACAGCACUGCACAAAGAACACAUGUAAGCAAGUGAUGUAACAUUUAAUACGAUACAACCAGAUAUGCUUGAGUUUGAUUUGUGGUACUCUCUUUCCUUAACUCAUCCUCAAAUGAGGAAUUGGAGAUAAAGCUUAACCUAACAGAAACAUCGAUCUGCUGAGAGUGCUCAUAGAGAGCUCUCAGUCCCCCAUCCAGCGUAGGUCUCUGCUGUUGUUCAUUCUAACCGGGAUGGAAAAACAUGAUGCUGGUUCAGAGCAGUUGCUGCUCCUGCAGAGAACUUCUGUUUGGUUCUCUAAACUUAUACUACCUGUGACUCAAGCUCCAGGGAAUCCCCCUUCUGGCCUCUGAAGGGUCUGCAUGCAUAUGGUGCACAUACAGACACAUAGAGAGAAAUAAAAAUAAAAAAAAAUAUACUAGCAAGUUGCAUGGUAGUUUUAAAAAACAAUAUUUGCAAGUUGUAAUUUGUUAAUUUUAUGCUUUGUGUUACUAUUUUUUGUUUGUUUGGCUGAUACCAUUUUUAGUUUUGUUUGGUUCUGAACAUUAAGAAAAAAAGUGAAAGACAUUCAAAAUCUUAUAUUUUGAACUGCAUGUAUAUUAGUUUAAAUCAUUAAGUAAUUGGAUAUUUUUAAGUAGCAUUGACUCAACUGCUGAGGCCAAAUCCUUAGUCCAAUUGAUCAAGCCAAAAGAAUUUAGAAUUAACUUUUGACUAAUGGGUAUUUAUACUGAAGAUCUCUCAAGUACUGUGCUGGACUCCUUCCACCAUUUCAGUAGGGUUUUUUUUUUUUUUUUUCUAGAAAGAGUCUCAGAAAUGAUAAAGUCAGCAAGCAUUCUUUGGGUAAGAAAAGCUGCAGACACAGCAAAUGAACCUUCAAGGGUUAAGGAAUUUUCACGCAGCUGUGCUCUAGCAGGGAAAUGAAGAGAAUCCCUAAGAAAAGUACCACGAACCCUGGCACUGUGUGUGGAUCCACACAUCGCACACUCUCACAUCCACACCCAGAAGCAGCCUGCCCAUUUUCUCCCCUGUAACUGCCUCUUCUGUCUUAGCAUAACCCUUGUCCUAGUUGACUCUUUAUCAAGUGCCCAAGAUGAGCUUAUAUUAAAGAAUAUAACCCUUUCAGGUGAGGAGCUGGAUGCUUAAGAUGUGGAGAAAACAGAAAAUUGACCCAGAUUUUUUCCCCUUUCUAUUGAGGAAAUCUGGCAAAGACUCCAUGGAGGGAAUGGACACUGCAAGUGUCAUUGCCCUCUAGUGGUGAGUGAAGUUCCUGCAGCUGUAAUGAUGCUCUUAUGGGGUAGAUCUAUCUGCUGUGCUCAUAUUUUAUUUUAUUUUAUUUUAUUUUAUUUUAUUUUAUUUUAUUUUAUUUUAUUUUAUUGGUCUUUUUUAUUUUGCUGGUUUUUUAUUUUUAUUUUUUAGUUAUUUUCUUUAUUUACUUUUCAAAUGUUAUCCCCUUUCCUAAUUUUCCUCUGAAAAUCCCUACCCCCCCCCCCUCUUCCAUUCCUGGUCCUGGUAUUCUCCUAUACUGGGGCAUAGAACCUUCACAGGACCAAGGGCCUCUCCUCCCAUUUAUGACCAACAAGGCCAUCCCCUGCUACAUAUAUAGCUAGAGCCACAAGUUCCACCAUGUGUUUUCUUUGAUUGGUGGUAUAGUUCCAAGGAGCUCUGGGGGGUACUGGUUAGUUCAUAUUGAUGUUCCUCCUAUGGGGCUUCAGACCUCUUCAGCUCCCAGGGUACUUUCUCUGGCUCCUUCAUUGGGGACCUUGUGCAGAGCCUCACAUGAAACAGCUAUAUUAUGCUCCUGUCAGCAGGCUCUUGUUGGCAUCUGCCUAGUGUCUGGGUUUGGUGGUUGUUUAUGGGAUGGAUCCCCAAGUGGGGCAGUCUAAAUACUUAACUUUGUUGUAUACUCAGAGGUCACUCUAAUGGUUUGUCAUUUCUUCAUUGAAAUUUUAUGUCAGAUUCUUAAGUCAGAACACAACACAAUUCUGUGAGUAAUUCGUUAGGUAAUAGGGAGCCUCAGAUUAAGUCUACUAAGUGUGUUAGUUUACAUUUAAAUAAAAGAGGUAAAUAAAUCCUACUACCAUGUUGAGACCCAUUGAGUUAUGAACUUUCUUCAGUGUGUGCUCGCUCCUUUAGCACCUACACGGAGAAUUUCACGGCUGUGUCAGGUUGUUCCACCUGCUCAAUCCCAUCAUGGUCACCAUUUUCAAUGGUUUAUGACACACAGCACCUUAGGCUAGGAGUCAUGAAUUAUCCACAGUCGACAAGUAUGGAGCAGAACCACUUCUACUGAGCAAAGAAAGAACAACAAUGUGGGAAAGAGAUUUAUGGUUGCACAGGAAGGAUGUACGAUCCUGAGAAUAACUUUUAACCACCAGAGUUAAGACCUAGCAGCUGAUUGAGGCUCGAAGGGCCCAGCAAGUUUGAAGACUGGUUGAUUUUGUCAGGCAGUGGCCCCCAUGUACAAUGAGAGAAGUCUUUUGGGGAGAGACCUCCAUUCACUGUAUGAAGGCACAUCUGCCAUCCCCCUUUUUUAGAGUGCCUGGAUUGGAGAGACACAGAGACUAAGAGCUAUUUUCCUUUGAUUAUUCUGAAAGUUACAAUUAAUGUGUGGUACAUACUUCAUAAAAUGCCCUAAUAUGUGAUAUUUAAAAUUUCAUUUAAAAUGAUAUCUAGAGGGCUGUAACAUAUCCAAGUCCAACGUUGAACAAUUAUGAUUUAUUCUACAUCAAUGAAAAUGUAUGUAGCAUUUUAUCUGACCAAUGAUAUAAACCAUUAUGUAUUUUCUCUUUCUGUUUAUAAUUUCUUUGCUUUGUGUUCAAGAAGGCAGCAUAAAUGCUGGUCUUUGUUGCCUAUAAGUAAAGCUGAAUAGUGGAUUGAGAUGCACAUAGAUAGAUCUUAGAGAAUAAUUCUACCAGAUAUAGUCUUUCUUCUCAGGGUUUGACCUAAUAAAAUACUGGUUAUAUCUUCAUAUUUUUCAUCUUGUAUCUCCCCAAUGUCAUUGUCCUGAAAUAGGAAAUAUCGUUUUAGUGUUAGAGAAUGCUAUGUAAUGCAUGGAAACAUUCCAUCGAAUUCCCUUUCCAUCUGUGCAGUUUUCUCUUCCCCUGACUUAGUGCUCUGCCAUUCACCUUGGGACGUCAGCCUGUUGUUUCUCAAUGUUCAGAGACAUACAUGUCAUUGCUACAUUUAUGAUGUCAGUAUUGGCUGGCAAAGAGAGGCUCCCACGUUUUGCAGACAUACUUGUGAAGUAUGUGCAGAAGAACUGAUAGUCCUUCCUCUAAGUGAAGGUUUAUUCUUUCUAUACACUCGUGGUAAAGAAAAAAACAAAUGCAGAAUUUAAAAAAUUGACAACUUUGAUGAACUGACAAGGAAUCAAUCAACAACAGGUCUGCAGAGGGGCAUGAGCUUAGUGAUUGGGUUCAAGGAUCAAAUUGGCUUGAGUAUCAACCAAACAUUUAAGGAUGUCUGUUUUCGUGUCCUUGAUAAAACCAAUAAAAGAGACAUUAGUCAUGCAUGAAAGGCAGGCAACGAAGGCAAAACUCAGCUGGAAACGUUGAAACUAUGGUCAGGAUUGUCCCAUUUCUCUGUCAUUCUUAGUGGACUGUGUGAGGCUUAUGAACUUGGCACUCAGUAUCCAAACAUGGUCUCUCUUGUAGCUUAUUGUCCACAGCUAUUUUUUUCCUCUAUUAAAGAUUCACAGUGCUUUCUUUUUUUUUUUUUUUUUUUUUUCCAAAAUGCUAUCUUCUGUUGUUUGUGGCAGCUGCUUUGGGUACUCUCUCAUUGCUGUAUCUUACUCAUGUCCUAUAUCCUGAGCUAACUGUCCUCCUGCUGCUUCUUCUUUACCUGCUGGCACUUACCUGACAGCACAUCUAUUGGAGUCUACCUUCUUGGGAUUCCAGCUUAUACUGAAGACCAGCUGAAACACCCAGACUUGUGGGACUAAGAAACUGCUAGAUUCUUGAACUUUACUCACAGCUGGCCAUUGUUGGGUUAGUUGGACCACAGCCUAUAAUUCAUUCCUAUAAUUCCCUUUAUAUAUAGAUUCAUCCCUUAAAUUCUGUGACUCUAGGGAACCCUGACUAACCCUGACAGGCAUUGUACCUCAGUUUCCAGAAUCUCCCAAAAUAGCAUCAUCAACUGAAGUCCAAAUCUGCAUCCCAGACAUUGGUUGGAAGAGUAUGUGCACAUAUGUGGAGUCUAGAGGACAAGCCUGGGUAUUGAACUUCCCAAGCUUUCAAUCUUGCUUCGAUAGGGAUUCUCACUGGCCUGGAUCUCACCAAGCUAAGAAGCCCUGGAACUUCCUUGUCUCAACCUCUCCACACUAGGAUUAUAAACACAACAAUGUUCCCAGCAGUCCAUGUGAGUUCUACUAGUUGAUCUGAGUCUCCUUGCCUCUAUGGCAAGCACGUUAUCCAUGGCUCCAUCCUUUCUCUAUUGCUUUGAAAUAUGCUGAGUCCCUGGUGUUCCAUCAGCCCAGCAACAGUGUUAGCAUUUCCCAUGGACAAGUGGAUUUCACCAAAAUACUCUGUGUGCAACAAUCAUUUCCAGAAAAUAGCUCUUCUUCAAACACAAAAAUUCAGAGAGACAUCAUCUUUAGGCCACAUACAUGUAGAACAUGUUUUUAAAUCCAUAGUAGUUAGCUAUCUCUGGCCAAGAAUUACAGCUUCAGUUAGGCUUACUUCUAGCCCAUAGAUGUGAAUCUAAUUGUGGUUCCUUCAUUGGGCAUUUUACAGAAAUCCAAGCUGGCCUUGAGGUUCCCUUAGUGAUCUCAAGUUGCUAGUCAUCAGAUCAGAACAUUGGAGUCUACUUAAAUGCUAGUCUUGAAACUAUCAUAUGUUCAACUUUCUUUGUAGGUCAAAGCCAGGGAGUGUAGUAAGGGUGCUGUUCUGGAAGCCAUAUCCACCAUGGGAUGUUCUUCAACUGAGAGCUAGAAAGAAGGAUGAUUUGUGGAGAACAGCAACUCAACAUACAAAUAUUCCAAGGGAUGACUCAUUCUUUUCUUUUUCAUUUUAAAAGAUUUAAUUAUUUUAUAUAUUCAAGUACACUGCUGCUGUCUUCAGACACAGCAGAAGAGGGCAUUGGAUCCCAUUACAGUUCAUUAUGAGCCACCAUGUGGUUGCUAAGAAUUGAACUCAGGACCUCUGGAAGAGCAGUCAGUUUUCUCUCCAGCCCACAAUUCAUUUCUUAUUCUGAAAAAGGAAACUCAGGCAUAAGAGAAUUUAAGGUCUCCCAUAGUCUUCAAGAAAUCUGUACCUGGCUGAAAACAUUGCAAGCUGCAACUUGAGCUUAAACACACCAUAUAAGUAGCAUAUGGCAUGGGAGAAAGGAAUAAUCAAGCAUUUUUAUUGCAGCAUAGGAAAGGCUGAGAAAAUGGGAAUAUUUACACAUGCAAUGCCUGAACCUCCAGGAAAUUAUCUACCUAAUACAUUUCCACUACACUCUUUCAUGCAUCUGAAAAUUUUACCAUAGGAUACAUCUGGAAGGAAAAUAAGAAAUGGAGCCAAAGGUCUAAUGAGCAAGUAAUGCUGGGACCUUAGAAUUCUUUUAGCCUUGGGAAAAGACAGGAGCUAACUCUGAGAGACACGGUCUAAGCUGUAAGAGGCUUCAAGCUUCUGCUGUCCCUAUUCAGCCUGCUGGUUCAUACAAACUGUCAAACAGAAUCAGUAGAGGACAGGGAAGGGCCCUGACAGAUGCCUCUGAGAAGAGCUAAUUGGGAUUCGGUCACCCAAUGGGUGCCUGAGACACAGAGGAGAAGCAAGCAGUUAACAGAAUAACAUGGCAUUAGGAGUGACUCAUGAAAGUCAGAGAAGACAAUUGGGUAGCAGUGAACAUUCGAUAUCUGUGGUAUUUUUAGUAAAAUUAUUUUGAGGGUAAAAUUAAAUGAGGAUAAAACAAAAGGAGAGGUGAUGGCCAUUAUUUCAAAUACAUAGAUAAAUUGUCUUCUGCAGUCCUUUUUCUCUAAACAAAACAGAACAAAACAAAACAAAACAAAAAAAAAAAAACUGAGAAAACAUGCAAUCCAGAUCCUUCAUUUCCAGCCUUAUUGUAUAAUUCUUUGCAUAGCAGCUUUAAACUAAUCUUCCUCUUUUGAAGAGGUAUUAGCUAGCAGUAUCAUUAAUUCGUAAUAUUCUGAGACCCUGGCAAGAGAAAUUCUUGAAGCUCAUUAUUAGGACCUGGAGAGGAAUACGGCCUAAUGUUUGUGUGUCAAGUGGCUCUCACUCGCUGUGACACGCUGUUAAGUUGUAAAAAUAACCCAGGAAUGCACUGAAAUUUUUAGAAAGCUUGAUGCCCCUCCCCCCAAAAUAAACCAGCCGUAAAAAAUACAUUUAAAUGCUUUGUUUUGUUUUUCUAGGAUGUCAGGAUAUCAAUGCUUUAGGAAGAGACAGAGGUAAACAGUGAAUUCAAAAGGGUUUUAAAGAACUAUGAAUUAGGUCUACUCCAGAUAAACACUAAAAUAAUGAAAUUAAACAUGAAGUGAAUAUACACAGUGAUGCUCAAUGCAGCAUUAGAAUAAUUAAAUACAAGGAUAUAAAAUGAAAGUCCAGUUCUAGGUUAGAUCAAAGUGUGAUGUUUGUACUGCACAGCAGAGAUGAGCAUCCUGAGUUGAUACUGAGCUUCAGAGAGAGACACCAGUUUCCAGUAAGGGUGUGGGCACUGGCGUGGUUAUAUGCAUGGGCGCAGGCACUGGCAAGAGGGUGGGUUUGGGUGAGGGCACAGCAAGGGCAUAGGCAUGGGUAUAGACAUGGUGUGGGCUUGGGUGUGGUUCUGUCCCCACUUGCAUCAUGUCCCAUGUGCUUGGGUCCUGACUUCUCAGUGGCCACAUGGUGACAUGAGAGAAGCUCCUCACCAGUUCUUUGUAUCCAAAUAUUUGUUUGGAAAUUAGUAAGAAGGGGAGCUAUCUCCACACAGCUAAGGACACAUGGGUACCACGUAUGCGUGCACAUUAGCCAAGACCACAUAAGCAACAUACAUACCACACAAACAAUAGAUUCCCAAUGAACAGUAGUGACUGUAUUGCAUCUUUAGGGAGCCCCUCAUUGUUCCAUGUGUGCCCUUCUGUCUCCAUUGAUGUCCAGGUCCUGCUCUGAAGCCUUGCCAGUUCACUUUCUGCUAUGGCCUGUCAGUGGUCUCCCUGACAGGGAAGAUAAGAUGCCUCUCCUCCCAGGGUCUGUUCUUGAAUGCCAGGGCAAAUUCUGCCAUCAUUCUGCCUCCCUCUCAUGUAUUAGCUACCACAAAGUCUUGACUAUUUCUCUUUUAAAAUGAGAGGGCCUUUUCUUCUUUCCUUUCCUUUCCUUUCCUUUCCUUUCCUUUCCUUUCCUUUCCUUUCCUUUCCUUCCCUUUCCUUUCCUUUCCUUUCCUAUCCUUUCUUUUUCUUUCUUUACUUUUUUCUAAACCAGUACCUUCAUCUGUCUGUCCUGUAAUGAAAAGUCCUGGUAACACUGACAUUUCAUGAUCACUCUCUGCCUCCCUGGACUGGCUUUGGCUUCCCUUGGACUCAGUCUUAUGUGAUGCUAGUUCUCUGGACACUCAUAGCACUGCACUUUCUGUGAGCACAGGGCUGCUCCCCUGGAUUUCCCACAUGGACUGUGGUAGAUUCAUCCCCAUUUGGUGCUGGAUGUAGGCUAUACAUUCUGAGGUUUGCCAUAGUGCUCAGAGCAUUCUGGGUUGUUCUACAAAUCCUCUAAACAAAGAAACCAACAAAACCACUUUGUAGGUAUAGUGUUGUGGAAUUGUAAGUGUGGUUACAAAAUACAAUGUUUGUGAUACCUUGAGAGAUGAUAUAGCUGGGACAGAAAAAAUUAUAGAAAGUUCCACACAGCAUCAGUAUAAGUGGGAAAUAGUGGUCAAAAAUGGCAGUUGGUUUAUGGAAAAUUUUAUAUUUAUUUUUGAAUUAAUAUGUAGUGAGAUGUUUGAUAUGAAUUCACUACUAGUGCAGUUCAUGUGUUUUCUUAGAUAAUCUUUUGAAAGGAUUUAGUUCUUGCUGAUGUUGAAUGGCAAUGUUCUAAGGCUCACAAAUUUCCCUAGAGCACACAAAGCCUUCGUUCUCUGGCCUUUGAAAGAUUGUAUAUUCAAAAUCAUGCUCCAAUGCUGUGCUUUUCUGAGAUAUCUCAAUUACAAGAGCACAAGAAAAACUAUUGCUUUUUGUAUAAGAUUUGGAGUUCUAAAAGGGGGAAAACAAAGACUUUGUUGUUCACACAUAAUAUCACACGUGAUAGUCUAAAACUGCAUUUAAAAGUCCACCUAGUCUAUUAAUCUUAUCCCUAUUGCCGUCAGAGGAACAGCAGAUGGCCCCAGCAUUAACUGGAGUUAGGAGCCCCUGGGAAGCUCAAGGUGUGGAUUAGUUUUUAUCAUGGUGAACUUCAGGUAAUGAUUGUCACCUGGCCAUCUUACCAUGCAUUAUCUACAUCUGGUGACUGCUGGGAGCUGAGGACAAACACCUGUUAGUUACCCACUGAAUGGGCAGUGCUGGAGGACUUGGCUCCCAGAGGACUUGGCGCUGCUGUAGAACCCUUAGGAGUUAGAGCAGGGCUGGAGGAAGUGAGUCCUGGGUGUGGGCCUUGGGGUUAAAUAAGCCCUCCCCCCUUCCUGCCUGCUCUCUGAUGCCUUCUCAGCUACAAUGGGCUAUAUAGUCCUUAAACUGUAAGUCAUAACAAACCCUCCUUUACUUCUUGCCAGGCAUUUGGUCCUUGCAAAGCUCUGUUUCAGCUGAGGCAGGUUUGUGACAUGGACAUGACUUCAGUCUGUGAUGUCUGCACAGUGUUUGAGGACUGAUGAUAUACCCCUGGCAGAUGAAGUGAUGAAGUCCUAGCUUUAAGCCCUUUCCUUAAUGAUGCACAAUCUCUUCUCAGUUUUUUCCUUUAUCCCUUCCCCAUUUUACACACUCCCUGUCUAAGAUCACAGAAACACAAUACAACAUGGCUUCAGGCAUGAAGACUCUUUCUUUAGUUUUGUAAACCAUUACAAAACACAAGUCUCUUGCUUUGGCAUUCAUUAACAUAAGGUUACAAACUAGUCAAAGGCAAAGAGUAAGACGGGUGAUUGAAAAUGCUUGUGGUGUUGGAAGAUCUUUGUUUAAACCUAGAAACAACACCUUACUAACUGGAUGGCUCAGGGAAAGCCUGUGAAUGUGCCUACCACCUGGUUAAAAUGUUUCAGCACAACCCUGGAGAGACAAAAGGUCACCUAGGGCUGGGAUGAGGGAUGUACUCCAUGACUCACAGAGAGUUCAGGCCUCUGGAGGCAUCCCUGUCAUACUGGGGCAGUGACACAUGGCAUUAUCUACUUGUCCCAUUAGGAACACUGUGCAGUUGCAACAGUAAAGUGAGUGUAGACUUGAGUCCAAGGGAAAGUGAGGAUCAGAGAUGGCAACUGUCUGUUAUAGGGGUUCCCCACCAUGGGGUUUCAGCUGUCAAAACUGCUCUGUGUGUGUGGCAAGGAAUUUGUGGGUAACUUAAUCCUAGUCACUCAAAAUUUUCUGUGAGUCUAAAACUUCUCUACUUGAAUAAAUUUAAAAUGUAAUUAAAAUAUUAUUUCCAAAACCAUUCUGUGAUCCCCAAGUUAGAAUAUCAGUUAAAAACAAUCAGAGAGUGAGAAAAUAGAUAAUUUGAGACAUUCUAGAAAAUUCCAGCUUUAUUAGUAUUUCCACUAUGUAAUUAUUUCUACCUAUGUCUUAUUACUUAGCUGAAUGGAAACAGCAAUAAAAAAUAAGAAAGGUAAUUAAGAUGUGAGCUGGAUAUGAACUUAUUGGAAUAUAGAUGGUCCUAAAAACGAGAGUUGUUGUUAAUUUCUCUAAGUGUUUUAUUUCUUUAAAAAUAACCUCUUAAAAUAAUGUAUAGAACACAUUUUUUUUAAUUAAAUACAAUUCUCUUGAAAUAAAUGUAAUCCCUGGACCACACAAAUAGUUUAGUUUACUUAGUGAAAGGGCACAUUAAAUGGUGUCAAUAUAAGUAAACACUUAUGUCAGGGUGAAAUAAUCAGGUGAGGCUGUGUGAUUUAGGAGACUCAAGUCAGGAAGCUUUCUACAGGUGGAAGACAGAGUGAAGGUGAGGGCUAUGUGUGGGCAAAUCCAUAGCUUUGUUUUUGAAUAUGGGAGGAGAUUCUAGAAGCUGGGAUAGUGGAGGAAUCAGGUUUCUCUGGAGAAUAUGCAAGAAGAAAUAUAUAGAUGAACUUGACUGGAGCCCAGAGGGGAAUUUCAGGCUUCUGAGUCCUGUAGCCAUGAUAAGUAAGUGCUGCUGAAAACAGUGGCUUCAACAGCAGCAGGGACCAAACAGCCUUGAAGGUGAGGGGUGUGAAGCUCACCAAAGAGGUGGAGCCUUGCUGGAAAGAUGAAAAGAUAUGGUUAUUUUCAGGCUAAAUGACUGAGAAUUCCAGAAAGAAGACUAAAGACACAUUUGAGCAAGUUGCAUUUGAUGUGAGCCAUUGUCCCUACACAUAUCUCAGAGCUAUCGCAGUGUGCUUGUCACUGACAGCUGAAUGGGGAGGCUUUGGAAGUGUCCUAUGAAAUUUCAUGGCAGUUUGUCCCUUGAAUCCCUGUUACUUCUUUGAAUAAAGAAAAAUAAGACAUUAUUGGACUAGGAUACCAAGCAGUUGUGACAUUUGAUUGUAAUGAUGAAACUGUUUAUUACUUAGAUCUCAAGGAAGACCCAGUGUGGGCAUCACACUGGAUAUCUAGUGUGCAGACACAUGUGGGAUGCUUUGAUUAAAAAUCAAUCAUAUAAGAUCAAUAGAAAAAUGACAGAACAAUUUCCCUACAUUGCCCAGCCCAGAUGACUGUUUCACAGUCUGAAAACUUUUAGCUGUGCCUUCUAGUAAUUUUUUCCCAUUCAGUAUCCCUUUGAGACUUUCAAAUUCAUAGCCUGACAAAUUGAGUCUUAAAUUGUCUUCAUACUAUAUCCUACAUUUGAAAGCAGGUUCAGGUUGUAAUAACCUGGCCAAAGAGUUCAGUUGUUGAAACAGUAUUUUAAUAAUUGUUUCAUCAACUUUGCUACCUUUUCAUAAAACCUCACAAAAAUAGUCUUAAACAAUUCUUUUGAAAUAUGUGGAAUUUACCUUAGUAAAGAGUAAGAAACUGAUUUGGAUAAUCUUUGGUAAGAUGUAAGUGUUGAUGUUUUCAAUGUAGUUUAAAUUUAUUUUUUAUCCAGAAAAAAUGUAUGACAAAAAUAUAGUACCAUUCAGUAUAAAUCAAAAUACACACACAUUUAAAGCUGGAUGGUAUGUUGACUUAGGCCGGUAACCCUACCUACCAUUAGGAUUCUGAGGCUGGAGGAUUGCCAUGGCUGGCUAUAAAUCUGCCAUGGCUGGCUACAGAGUAAGACUAUGUCUCAAGAAACUACAGUCUCAGACAGUUAAUGGUGACACCUGCACGUGGUAUCAGUUGAAUAUGCAUCUACUCCACGUGUUAUUGACAAAAUUGCUGGAGGGUUCCAUGGUGCUUCUCCUUUAAACCAGGAGGCGGUGGUGCUGAUGCCCAAUAGGUACUUUCAGAUUUAUAGAAACAGGACAGUUAUAAUGAUGUUUGUUCCAAGAACUGGACUUUUCUUCCAUGAUGGCUUGAGAAACAAAUUCUUAUACUUCAUAUAAGUGCAGGAAGCAUCUUGGCUGUUCUGCACUCAGCCCUGGGUUCUGAUCCUAUUAAUAAGGUAUACCUUUGAGGACAAUAUUUCUCUACGUGAGACUGCUUCAAGAGAACAACAACAAACUAUAUAAAACAAGCAUAGCUUAUCUUUCUGUGAACAUUUCUCAGGAAGGACCUUCUAAACAAUUUGGGCAUAGACUUAUUUCUGCUGUUUUGGCACACAGGAUAAUUUCAUUAGGUUGUUUAAUGAGGAAAAUCUCAGAGAAUCGGUUACUCAUCUUUCUUCCCAACUACUGUGAUAAAGAUGUAAAAAGUAUCAAGCUAGUGAGAUGAAUGUGCCUUGGCUGUGACUUGAAAUAUUUACAUCAAUGACAUGUGAUAUAUAUUCUGAUCUUAAAAUGCAGACAAAAUUGAAUGGAAAAUAGCAUAACUAAAAUAGCAUUGAUCUGGAGUUAUUAGUUAUCUUUUUAAAUAAUUAAAAUGAUCCCAGGUGAUAAUAGCAAUUACUAAGCUAAAAGAUUUAUGGGUUCCCUAAUUCCCUUCAAAUUUGGAAGUUCAUUCCAUCAACUGAAUAAAUAACACCAAUUAUUCACUUGGUGCUUGUACUGGCUGGUUUUGUGCCAACUUGACACAAGCUGGAGUUAUCACAGAGAAAGGAACUUCAGGUAAGGAAAUUUCUUCAUGAGAUCCAGCUGUAAAGCAUUUUCUCAAUUAGUGAGGGGGUGCAGGGCUUGUGGGUGGUAUCAUCUCUAGGCUGGCAGUCUUGGGUUCUAUAAGAAAAGCAAGCUGAACAAUCUGGAGAAAGCAAGCCAGUAUGUAACAUCCCUCCAUGGCCUCUGCAUCAGCUCCUGCUUCCUGACCUGCUUGAGUUCCAGUCCUGACUUCCUCUGGUGAUCAACAGCAAUGUAGAAAGUGUAAGCUGAAUAAACCCUUUCCUCCUCAAAUUGCUUAUUGGUCAUGAUGUUUGUGCAGGAAUACAAACCCUGACUAUUGCUGAGCACAGCAUUGCAUGCCCCAACCCUCAGGGGGCUUAACUUCUAGAUAGAAGACAGACAACAGAGAAGUAAAUGACUGGUGCCAUCAAUAUACAGCACAUCUAAUACUGAUGAGGAUUACACAAUGACCCUGGGAGAACGGUCGGAGAACUGUAAUUUCAAAUAUGUUCAACAGAAGUGGUUUGCACUUCUUAAAAUGAUACUUAGGUGAAAAACGUAGAUUCACAUCACCAAAAAUAUUCAACAAAAAUGUAGUAAAGCAUCUGUUCUAUUAGAAAAAUAGCCAAUUUCUCGGAAGUGUGAGCCCUGGGCACUUGGAGAAAGCAAAGGUAUUCCAUCUGUCUGUGUCAUGUGAGGAGCAAGAUAGGGGCUUCUUCCUAUGAAAGCCCAGGUUGUGACUGGGCAGGAGGUAACAGUUCAUUUCUGCAUCUUAAGUGUUGUCUGUGUGAGUUAUUUUAUUGCUAAUCAUAAACGAACAAGCAUUUGGAAUCCACAAAUCCCAAAUAUUGGUGUGAGAGGGCCCUGUAGGUACUUAUUCCAGAAGACUGGGCUGAGGCACCAGCCCCAACUCUCUUCCACUGAACAGUUGUGGAAGUGUUUAAUUUGUCUUCCGCUAGCCUCUAAUUUGUCAGUGAACCUUUAACUGACAUUUGCUAAAGUUCACUAAAUUUGGAAGCACUUCUCCAGGACUGAGAGGCAUCAGGCAUGAUUUUAUGUUAAGAACAGUGGGGAAAGGGAGCUAUCUGGAUUUGUCCAUUCAGUGGAGAGCUGGCCUCAUACCGAGCCUUGCAGGAGGCAAAGCUGUAUUUGCAUAAGGGUUACCACUGGAGAAUUUAUACUUCAUUAACCUGUUGAAUCUUGGAAAAGGUCAGAGGCAGAAAUAAUAUUAAAAACCAUAAAGGAUUCAGUGGAGAUAAUAUGUUUAAUUCCUAAAUUAUGAAAUUAUAUAGUAAGUUCAGACCCGAAGCAUAGUGGAGAUGAGAUCAAUUUAAAAACAUUGAAAAUUACUCGAAGCAGUAUAUGUAUGAUCAAAUUAGUACACAAUACAAUAAAUUGUUAAUUAAUCUUUUAAAAAUAAAUCUAUGGUUAUAUUGAACACGAUGUACAGACAGACACACCUUGAUGGCUUUCAGGAAAAUAGUCUUUUAAGAUGGUGUGAAGAUGUGAAUGAGACUAAAAUGCCUGUUACAUACAUCACCUCCCGAAGAUAGAUGAGAAUUGUACAGUUCAUAUCCCCUCUCGUUAAUGAGCUUUGAAUAUGCAAGGCAAUCUAACUCCUUGCCACUUCUUACUAAUUCCCUCAUUUGUUUGACUGAGGGAAGUAAGGUUAAUAGUUUUUCUUACAAUAGGGCUUUUAAAUUUAUUUUUAUGUCCGUUCUGCUCCCUCCCUCAUCUCCUUUUAGAUUCAUGCUAAUUUCUCUCGUAUUUGCAUUUGAUAAUGUUUCUAAAAAUCUAAAAACUUUACAAGAUCGACAGAUCUUCUAAGUCUUCUAACGUUCUUGGCUUUGCAUCACUCUCCCUAUGGGCAGUGAGAUUAGUCAGUGUUCUGAAGAGAUCUGAGGUCUAGAGAGAUGUGCACCCCUUCCAUCAUCUGACAUAUGUUGUCAAUUAUUCUACCCAAGUCUGUUUGAGCUUCAGAAACUGACAGCCAGUGUCUAUUCUAUCUUAUAUGCUUUGUGGGUACAUCGACACUGUGUGUUCAAACAGGAAAAAAAAAAAAGGAGAAAGAAAUCAAAGAAGCUAACGUUCUUUUAUUUCUCCAGUCUGCUUCCAAGCAAUAGACUUCUUUAUCUCUAGCUCAGAAGUUGGGGUAACACUUUAAUUAAGCUUCAUUUAUAAACUUGGAAAGUUGAUGCAUCAGAGAUGAACUUAUAUAAACCAACAACACAGAGCCACAGAGCUUGGAGGGAAGCCUCACCUCAGAACUACAUGGAACCCUUGGCAUUUCAUUAAAAAUAUUAAAUGAGCUCCUGUCAAGGUUUAUUUAAAUUUUACCUUAUCCAGAAAGCUAAAUUAAAAUCAGCUGUGGCUUUGAGAAGUUGGAAAAAAAUGAAAAGAUGCAAAGAUUUCAGAUUAAAGGAAGGUUUUAUACAGAAACAAGAAGAAACAGACACAUUAAAAACACUUGAAUUUGUGCUGUUGACUUUAUAGAUUUGGAGGUAUUGGGAGAAAUUCUAAUAUAUGCUAAACCAACAUGUAUGUCAUAUUGAAGUUAUAGCAGUAUAAGGGUCACUGGAACAGAGAAAGCUGAAGGUAGGAAGGAAACUAUGAGGGACUCUAGGGGCUGGAGAAGGAGCUGGGCAGAAGGACUAUGGGUGGAAAAGUGCCACACCAGACACAUGUGCAAUGAAAAAUACAUAUGCAACCAACCAGUGCUGUAACAUGAGCUCAUCAUCAGAGUAGAGCUCUCAAAAAAGUCUCUAAACACUUGCAUUGAGAAAAUACACAGAGGGUAAAAAUGUCAAUUCUGGUAUCUAGUAAUAAAUUUAAAAUGUAUCCCUGAUCUCCAGGAUAGCUUCACAUCUCAGUCUACCAUGAGUACUUCUCCACCAUUUCUACAUUGAUCCUUUUCUCUUUUACAUCUGUGAGCUCAGCUUUUUCAUAUACAUGAUGAGUUAAGAUUGUGUGGGAAUUUUUCUCUGCCUGGCUUGUUUCCCUUAGCUCAAGACUCUCAAGUUUCACCUGUUAUUUUGAAAUAACUCAAGUUCCUUAGGUACGUCAGUGUACCACAUGCCUGUAGUGCCCGUGGAGACAUAAAGAGGGCAUCAGAUUAUCUGGAGCCAACAUAGGGGUCCUUGGAACUGAAUCAUUGUCCUAUGGAAGAGCAGUCACUGCUCUUAACCACUGAACAAUUUCUCCAGACCCAUGAACCAUACUUUCUUAAAAGUUUCAUAGGAUAUAUAGAUAUGCCUGUAGAUACAGACACAACGUGUGUGUGUGUGUGUGUGUGUGUGUGUGUGUGUGUGUGUGCAUUUCCAUGUAUAUGUAUGUAUCCAGAGAAGACUAGCUGACAACAGUUCUAUCUUUAGUUUCCUUUGUUUCCCUGGUUGCUGUGCUAAUUCAUAUUUCUCACCCACACUUAUCUCUCAUCUUUUUUAACAGUAGCUAUUUUUACAGGUGAGCAAAUACAAUUUCUUAACCUGAAGUCAGGACAGGAGUCUAGUUUUAUGGUGAGCUUACUGAUGCUCCAACCUCAAACCUUCACUAGAGUCAUAUCUCAAGCCAUUCCUAUGUUGUGAGAGCCAGAGGGAGAGAGGGAGAGAGACAGAGAGAGAGAGAGGGAGAGAGACAGAGAGAGAGAGAGAGGGAGAGAGAGAGAGAGAGAGAGAGAGAGAGAGAGAGAGAGAGAGAGAGAGAGAGAGACAGAGAGAGAGAGAGAGAGAGAGGAGGGAAAGAGAGAGGGGAGAGAGAGAGAACUAGAGAAAAGAAAUAAAAAUAUAGGAAUAAGAACAUAUCUAAUUCUACUUAACUCUCCACACCUGCAACCCUUCCUUAUUGUACAGGGGGGCAGUUUGUUCUGGCUGUUCAAAUGGAGUCCAAGACAAUGAGAACGAGGUAUCCUGACAGAGCCAAGCAGAAACAUUACAUUUUGAAUGAUGUUCUUGCCAGCACCAAGGUACCUAUUGGAGCUGAAGACUUGGCCUCUAGGAGGAGGGGUGCUUUUUUAAACAGAUAAGGUGCUUGAUCACCCAGAGACAGUGUGAGGGCUAGUUCCAUGUUAGAACCAUGUCUGGAUAUAAAUGUGUUUCUACUGGGGCUUUGGUGGGUGAGGCCUUGUAUGUGAUCAGGAAUGAAAUAGGAGAGAGAAGGUAGAGUAGGGUGUGCUUGAUGUGGUAUGCACAAAGAGCUGGUACCUAUCCUCUUGCACCUACAGAUACACAUUACCCACAAUGAACCUUGGGUACUGCUUUACACUCCAGAACUUUCCGAGUGCUGCUGAACAAAAGUUCUCAGAAACUAAAUGGCACAAGUGCUGUAGAAGCAUGAAGGCUUAUUCUCCUUCUGAUGUCUUUAUGAAAUCCUGCUAAUGUUAGUCUGUGUAUUUACUAAGCAUUAGAACCAUGAGUUUUCCUUUACCUACAGGAUGUCUUCCAUGUAUCAAAACAUGGCUCACCCUUAACUGUUUCUGGAAGUGGUUGGCUUUCUAAUUAGAACUUACCCUGCUGGGCUCUAAUAGAAUAACUGGAGACAACUGUUAUAGUUCCCCCCUCCAUUCCCAUUAUAGGGGUUGAUUUCUUAAUGCUAGAUUUUGCAGAGAUGUUCUGACAAAUUGUAAUUACUUCAUAACAGCCAUGAGGUAAGUUUAACAUGAUAAAAUAUGGGAAUUACAUUAUAGGUGAAAGAGCCAGGAAAGAGGUAUUUAAGGUGAAAAAAAUAGAUUUAUGUAUGAUUGGCACAUUUUUCUGAUGAUAUUUAACAUACACCAGGAUUGUUUUCAUUACAUAUUAUUGCAGUUUUGUCUCUGUCCCUGUCUCCUUGUGCUCCCUGCUGUGUGUGUGUGUGUGUGUGUGUGUGUGUGUGUGAGAGAGAGAGAGAGAGAGAGAGAGAGAGAGAGAGAAUGUGUAAUGUCUCCCCUUGUUCUAAGCAGGGGCUUUCUUUUCCACAUUGCUGCAAACUCCAGCCUAGCUGGCCCACCAGCCUCCAUUCAAUUCUCCUGUCUUCCUUUCUUACCUCAUAAGAGUUGUGAGAUUGCAAUGAUUUAUGGGAUUUCUAGAGAUUGGAUUCGGGUUGUCAGUCUUGCCUGGCAAGUUCUUUCAUCUAAGUAGCCAUCUUACCAGGCCAGGGACAUUGGUAAAACAUGUCUUUCCUUCUCAGACUGUCUGUGUUGUGUCCAUCCAUAUAGCUGCUACAUCAGCCUACCAGAUCCAAGCAGAUGCUCUUCUUUUGGUUUCUCGGGCCUGGUGUAUCUUUCUGUAAUGUUGAGAGGAGGAAUGAGAGAACAAACGGAUCCUUGUGUGUAAACAUUCAGGACACAAGCCCUCUGCUUGCCUUUGGAGCCUCUAUGACCAACAGUACACUGUACACCAUGUUUUUAGCUUAAUAGCCCAUUGUUCCUAGGCUAGGAGUCCCUUCUUCAAGCCCUGUAUCACAUCUUCCACCCAACUCUUUUAUAUUUAUAAAAACUCUACUUUUAAAUCUAGCUAUAAGAUGGUAGGUUUCCAUAUGGCUUUUUAUUUCAGAAACAUUUGUCCUGGAUUUUGCAAGCAGCCCAUUUAGGUACUGUAGUUAAAUCAGAUAGUAUUCUACCUUUAUAGUAAAUGCUCCCUUAAGAAUUUAAUCUUUCGGCAAUUAUGUUUCUUAUCUCUAUUUAGGUAACAUUUUUCACAAGUCUACCUUAAUGAUAGUUAAUCUCUCCCAAGUAUGUUUGUGUGUAUGUGUGGCUCAGGCAUAGUAGGAAGCAAACAGAAGUGUAAGUGUAAAUAUGAGUGAUUAUACUCAACAAAAGUUUUCAGUUACCUUUCCAUCAAAUGCUAUUUGCUACAUAUCUGAAGAUUUGGGUAUUUGGGUAUGGGCCCCCGCCUCCACCCUACAUAGGCUUUACCUACUAAUAAUCUGUAAUCAAAUCAUACUUUCGAGACUACCCAAGACAGGUGCUUACCCUCGUCUGCUAUGGUUAAAAACAUUCCCUGAAUGAUGAGCAUUUGGUUACAGUCAGGACAGGACUGUGAUAGGCAUCACAGCCCCUGGAGAAUUCUCAUACUGGCCUUCUAAUCCUUCACCAAAGAUAAGCAAAGUUUUAUUAAACAUUAUAAUUUGGUUAUAUUUCACGAUUGUCAAAAUUGAAAGCAGUUUAAAUCCAUGUCUCCUAAACACUUACUCCCUGUAACCUUCCAGGAAAACAGAGGCCUCCCAUCUUAUCAGGAAGAUGUGUCUUUCUCCAGCAAUAAUGAUGCUCACUAAUAAUUAUCUCACUAAGUAUGACAAGCUGCUAAAACACUUAGGUGUUCAUUAUUGCAAAUAACCUGUUAAUGUUAUCUUCAAGAGCGCAGAAUCACAGCAAUUUUAAACCACUCUGUUCUGUUCUCAGGGCCCAGAGCUUGGUCUUUAUACCACUUUAUUUCAUAUUAUAGGGAUAUAUGUAUAAAUAUUAGUUAUCAAGUGAUAUAUUUACCUAAUGCUUAUAACCACUGCAUCCCAUAAAAGAUUAUAUAAUAAUGUUUGAUGGGGUUUUCAGCCUGAAUCUUCAGUCAAGACACUUGUCGAAAGGGCUCAACCUGUCUCCCCAUAAUUUCUGGGAUGCCCUAGACACGUUUCUUAUGCUCUCUCUUUUACUAUCCAUGGCCUUAUAACUGUGUUUCCCACAUGAGUCAGACAGGAGGCCAUUGAUUUGCUGAGCACAGCAGUUUGACCUUUCAGCUCUUGCUUGAUAUGGGAUACUAUUGAAUGUCUUUCUAUUUCUCUGAUUUUUUUCCUCAUGUGCCUGGUAUAAUUUGAAUUGAGCCAAAUUAAAUUGCCUAAGCCUGGUUGGGGUGGCUGAUGUCUCCAUAAUUUCUAAUAGUACCAUUGAGUCAAAUUUGUAGUACAUAAACCUAUUUAAAUGAAAACUUAAGGAGAGUAUGAGAUAGUUAUUGUUGUAUUUUCUAAUUCUUUAACUCCUUAAAAUGGUUCCUUGUGUUGUGGUGACACCAACCAUAAAAUUAUUUUCUUGCUAUUUAGUAAGUGUAAUUUUGCUACUGUUAUGAAAUUUAAUGUAAAUAUGUGCUCCAUGACCACCAUGAAAUGGUAGCUCGGUCCCCACAGGUUAAGAACUGCUGCUAUGAAGGGAGUAUAAAGGAAUGGUUCAUCUGAAAUGCUGAUUUUGUGAUAUUAGUUCUUUGCAUGGGUGAACAUGUUUCAUGUUAUAGGGUGUUGAGGUGGGUGCCUGGCUUUUGUCUUCUAGAUGCCUCUUUACAUGAAGUCAUGUUAAUCAAAACGGUUUCAAGAUGCUUCCAAAAUCCUCCUGGGGCAAUACCAGCCAAGUUUAGGUGCACUUGUCUAGUCCCUUUGGAACCUGUUUAAGCACCCAGAUUGGGUGUUAGGUACAAGCUUCCAAAAAGUGGAACCAAGAGUGUCCUCUGAGUAUCAGGUUGAUGAUCAAUAGGGGGUAGCUCUAUUGUGUGAGGGCACAGCCUUCCUAGGCUACCCUUGGCCACAGCUCUUUGCCCAGGCCCUAGAGGUUCUAGAGCAUUGCUCAGAGCAAAAGCCUGCAGCUCUAGGACUGAAGCACCAGACUUGCUGCCAUCCCUGGACACACUGAGACUCACCAUGCAUGGGACUGAAGCAGCUCUAACACUGGCCUCACUAGGCACACAGGCUCACCCAGCCUCCAUGUAAGACCGAAGCAUCUCCAUGCUGACCUCACUGAACACACUGAGCCUCAGUGUGGCCUCCAUGUGGGGCUGAAGCACCUGUGGUGCUGGCAUUCCUAGACACACUGAGCCUCACCGUAUCCCCACAUGUGGGAUGGAAGCAGCUGCAGACUAACCUCACUGGACACACUGAGUCUCAGCAUUGCCUCCAUGUAGGACUGAAGCACCUACUGACCUCACUGAACACACUGAGCCUCACCACAGCCCCCCACAUGGGACAGGAGACAUGUGGCACUGCCAUUCCCAGACACACUGAGCCUCACCUCACUGUGGCCCCCACAUGGGAUAGAAACACCUGCACAUAGACCUCACUGGAUUCAAUGAACCUCACCAGGGCCCCCAGGUGGAUUUGUAAUCACCUUUCCGUGCCAGUGAAACUUGCCUUCCCUAGUAUUUUCAGUGAUUUUGCCUUGAUGGAACUGCAGUAUAUCAUUGGAAAUUGAAUUACUUCAAAGUUCAAAAUCAAGACUCUAAUAGUUAGAUUAUCUACCUAAUGACUGCUGCAUCUGAGAUCUGAAUGCUGUUGAAGUGAGCAUCUUUAUUUAAAAACAUUUUAAUCCAGUGUUCUAUACAAAUCCAACCUCACAUUGUAAAUGCUUCAUAUUUGCACACUGAAUUUGUACUGAGAAUGUAAACUAAUAAAACUUCAGAGAUAGUUAUAGUUUUAGACACUUUACAGUUUAAUUUGCCUUCUGACCUUUGCACUUCAGUGAAUUUAAAGGUGUUUUGAUAUAAUAGUCUAUUGAGAAGAGUCCUCAUCACCAAUGGCCUGAUCUUUUUAGUGUUAUUAUUGUCCACACACGGACACCUGCUCCUUCCAUGAUGGUAGCAGGUGUGAUAUUUGGAAGCCGGAAUGAAAUCGUGAUUUCUUCACACCCAGGACUACUGUGAGAACAGCUCAGCCAGUGUCUGAGAGCCCCACUUGUCUUUCAGAGGAGAAAUGUGGCUUGCAGAAACUUUGGACACUUGUUCAAAAAUCCACCACAAACAUCAAGAUAAGCUGUCAAAAUUUAAAAAAAAAAUAAUUAAAAAAAUUCAAUUCAAAUAUGGUUCAAAAGUACUUCAUGUUAGAUUCUAGAUAUUGAUGCAGGUCUAAUAUUCCGGGGAUGUAACUGAUCUAUGUAUUUAAUAUAGCUAUUUUAAUUCUAAAACUAUAUUCAGAAACCAAAGAUACAAAUCCAGACAAGGCUUAUUUCUUCAUAUAUUCCUUUAACUUUGGCCCCAAAUCGUGUCUCACCAAAACAAUAGAAAGUUUUUAAAAAA